GAUGGCCGUGACCUAAGUUGUGAUUUAAGAUGUAGCACUGCUCUUUGAUUAUUUGACAAUACAGAAGAGGAAUAUGUAAAAUGAUGUUGUCUAAUGACUACAAUGGAAAUCUCUUAGAUUUGAAGGAACCAUUUGAUCUACGGGAUGGUUGGCUUCUUUGGGCAGGAGUUGGUCUCCUGGGUGCAUUAAUUGCUAUUGCACUAACAGGAUUUGCCUUGAACAUCUUUAGUGGUGAAAAUCCACAAAGAGAGGUUAGAUCCUGCCUAUGGUCAUUUGUUGUUAAACAAUUUAUUUUUUCUGUACAAGUACCUAUUAUCAUUUUCUUUUAAGUUCUUACAACUGUUCAAUAUGCUUCCUGGUUGUCUUGUGUUUUUCUGGAUUGGAAUAUGUUCUUUUGUUAUAAACCAAACUCUCUCAGAUCUGGUUGGUCAGUUAGCUGAACCAUUAAAGAAAAUUGAUGGGUUUUUUUUUUUGCUAUUUGUUAUGAUAAAGAAUAAUCAGUCAGUAACAAGGAAAUAUAUUGGUAAUCUUAGGGGUACAUUUCAUUUGUAGAAAAAGAGUCAAAUGCAUGGAUCAGGUUAUCUUGAAUAUAUGUCUGACAUUUUCACCUUGCCAUCUUGGCCAGUCAUGAUGGAAGAGGUUCGAAUUUUGCAAAACCUGAUGGCACGAAGAGUUCUACACCUAUUAAUAUAAUAAUCGAUACAAUUUUCCAUCUUGAGUUCAAUAUUCCUGCAUAGCAUAAUUACCAAAUGCUGUCAUAGAUAAUGCUGAUAAAAGAUUUCAUAUUUCCUAAUUUCUCAAAGUUCAUUUAAGCCACAUAUCACCCCAGAUUAUAUAUUUACUACCUUAAGUUGUUUAUUAGUAGUUUAAUCUGUAACUUCUAGACUAUAAAAAAACUAACUUAAUAUUGUAUUAUGCUGUGGAAGUUUCUAAAUUCAUUGAAUAAUUUGGUGCAGACUGAUGCUUUAAUUCGAUUGUUGCCAUUGAUUGGUUCUUCAGGUAUCAGGUAUUGUUUUCUGUCUCUAUCCUGAAAACAGAAGAUAAUGAAGUGGCAAGAUCCAUGGCUAAUUUUAUGAAAUUACUUUUUGUUGUAGCACUGCUUGUCUACUGGGCAUUACUGGUGUUUUAGCCCCAGUUCUUGAGGAGACCAUCUUCCGUGGAUUUCUCAUGGUGUCUCUAACUAAAUAGUACAUUCCAUGUGCCAACAGUAUAUUUCUAUUUAUUUGUCAAUUAUAAUUAUAAUUGUUGUUUGGGGCAUUCUAUAGUGUGAAUUAUUUAUUUCUGUUUGACAAAUUAUUCCUAACAUAUUGGAGUCUUUUAGCUGUUGAUGUAGAAAGAAUGUCUAGCACAUUUUUAAAGUAGCACUGAGAUCUGAAUUGGCUAUUAGCGAUCAGCCAUCUCCAAUUAGAGAAAUAUGGAAUUUGCAAAAAAUUGAUAGUCAAGGUUCAAAUCGAACAAGAGUUGACUGAAUAUAUUGGGAUUGUGACUUUGGGUUAGAUCGGUGAUUUUGGCUAUUCUAUGUUGAUUACACCUAACCUUAUCCCUCACGAUGUGUGGUUGCAAUCAUGUCAGAUUUAGGCUAAGAUGCUUAAAGAAGGGAAGGGAAGAAAGGAGAGAAGUGCUGGGAAGAAAGAGAAGUGAGAGAGGGUGAAAUUGGAGAAGGAAAAGGGAAGCUUGAGUAGAGGGGUAGAGAGCAGAAGCGGACAUACUAUGCAUGCCACCACCCGCGAGCCAUCAUCUACCGCCCUUUAGGUGGUUGCAAACCACUGAUUCAUUGCUAGAUCUUGAGCCUUGCUGAUUGUAAAUCACUUGGCUGUUGGCUCACCAUCAUCGCCUUUUCAUAUAUCAGAGUUUUUAGUAGAUGUUACAGUCGUUUAUCAUAGUUGACUCUAGACCUUCCUGUGUAUGUCAAAACAUGUUUUGAGAUAAAAAGAUAUUUUACUUUAAUUAUCUUUUGUAAAGAUAAUACGUUUUGUGUUUUGAUAUAUUAAUAUAUAUUUAGUUGUAAUAUGAAAAUAUAAUAUAUCAUGGCCAAUCACGCAUGUAUGCUUAGUAAAACCAAAUGGGUAUUCCUUAAACAAGAAAAUACUGUGUUUAAUUGUAUCGAGAGUAUAAACUCAUACUUCACUGCACUGAGUUCUUUUCAUCUUGUGAGAUUUCUUCUAGACAAGGUAAACUUCCCACUUCCAUUAUUAUCUUAUUUAUAUCCAAGUUAGAAUAGAAGUUAAAUCUUGUGCAGGGCACAUACUAAUAUUGCAACCUAUGUGUGUGACUUCACAGAUGUUUAGAAUCAGAGCUAUAUAAAUUUUUCCGUGGGAUCUUGGUAGCUGAUACCCUAUACCUGAACUUCGUUUAGUAAUUACUGUGUUUUUUGUGUGCAAUAGCAUAUCUAUGCCUUCAUGGUUCCUGAAUUUCCAUUGUUUAUGCAGCUUGUCAACACCAAUUUCUGUGAUUAUAAGUGCAGCCAUAUUCGCAAUUGCUCAUCUCACUCCUGGAGAAUUUCCACAGCUGUUUGUCCUAGGUACGACUUUGUUUCUUUAAUCAGUCGGCUGAGGUCCACCUCAUUACAUUAGGCAACAAUGUGUAGCUUUAACUUUAAUGUUUAACAGUCAGAGACUGCCUUGUGGCUGAUCAAAAGUUCUAUGUACGUUCAUGAUUACAUUUGCUUUUCUGAUUACCAUUUUAUGGAAUAGCUUUUUAAUCAGCAAGCUGUGGUCCACCUCAUUAAAUAAGGCAGCAGAGUGUAGCUUCAACUUUGAUGUUUCCUCUAACGGUUAGAAAGUGUCUUGGGGGUUUAUUAAAAGUUUUAAUAAAUGUUUUUGUUUAAGUCUGCAUAUCUGAUUACAAUUUUAUUCAACUAUGCUUUUGUAAGCCAGGGUCAAUUUUCAACUAGCUAAAUAUUGCAGCACUCUUAACAAAUGCAAUAGAAAAAUUAUAUAAAUUUUAAUGCAUGCGGAUUCUAUACAUACUACUGGAGAACAUGAAUAAUAUGGUAAAUAUAUCUGUUUUUUCUUACACAAAAAACAAUAAUGUGGUGAAUGUUUCCCAAGCUUUCCAGUUGACAAUUUACUAGUAUGUAAGCAUGACUGUGGUUAAUUAUACAAUCUGCUUUCAUGAGGGUUCCCAACAACUUACAAAAACCAGAAGAAGAGGAGUAGCUUUUACAAGCUUUUUGAGCUUUUUUAGUUUUAGGAUUCUAUAUUAUCUUUAUAAAAAAUAUGUGUAAUUCUCUUGCGCCCGAUAGCUACAUAAUAUAUCACAUCAGUCAUGUGUGCACUAAUUAGUUUUAUUCAAAAUUCUUUAUUUGAAAAUGUGAGUUUUUUACUCUUGUUUCAUUGAAUUUGAACAGGGACUGCUUUAGGAUUUUCAUAUGCUCAAACUCAUAAUCUUCUAACACCAAUCACCAUACAUGCACUCUGGAACUCGGGGGUGAUUUUAUUGCUCACCUUUCUUCAGGUACACUUGAUCGUUCCUUUCUAGAUCUUCUCAAUCUCCGUUGUAAUUAUUUUAGCAAAUAGCAAACCAUAUCUUCAUGUGUUAUAUAUGAUCUCUUUUGACAUCGUAAUUAUUUUAGCAAAUAGUAAACCAUAUCUUCAUGUGUUAUGUAUGAUCUCUUUUGACGUUCUCCAAAUGAUUAAAAUAUGAAUGUAUAAAACCAUGCUUGCAUGCGUUAAUGUAUCACAUUCCUAGUUACCUGUAAGCCCCGUUUUUUCUGCUGCAUACAGGUUCAAGGAUACGAUAUCAGGGAGCUUCUACAAGCAUCUUGAAGCGGUCUCUGGAGUACUGGGAGUGUGUAGCUACUUUGUUCAUCUGGACCUAUUUAUUUUAUUUCCUUCUUGGCCUGCUCUUGUAUAGCAAGUGGAAGCAAAGGUAUUUGGUGAUCACUACUUGUGCGUGUACCUUUGCUGAACACUUGACAUCCUGCUUAAUAUCUUAUUCAUGCUGGUGGUUUUAGAAGGUGUGGAAAUUGAGAAAAGUUAUAUGGUUGGAUUGGCUAGAUUUUGGCCUGGUUGAGCAGAAGGCUGUCAUAGAAAUUGUUCUUUUAUGAUUUUACAAUUAACAAAAUCAAAAAACCGCAUGGUGGUUUAGUUUGAACUAAAAUUAUCGAAUUGUAUCAAUAAAGUUUGUCUUGUUUUGAGCUGAAGAAGCGUAUACAUAAAAUUGUCUUCGAUUGGUUGCCACAUAAGUGCGUUGACAUUGAGAGCUCAGGCCGCUGGGUGAACCUAAUGGCUGUCGACUAAUGAUGGACGGAGUAGAACGCUAAUGGCUGUCAAGUUGUUCGAGCGAGUGGCGACGUCGAAUGGUCUAAUAAUGUCUUGUCCUAUUCGCUGCCUACUUUGAUGUAAAGUGGAGUACCAAAGAUAUGCUCGGCAACGAUCCGGUCACUCUUACCCAACUUCCUUUGUAUGAAGCAGCGAUGCCUUUCGCUUCUCCAAUCGUGCGGUUCCAUGGACGAGCUCCGCCAAAUCCACGCCCGCCUCCAUUCCUCCGGCUUCGCCGGCGACAAGUUCCUCAACAGCGAGAUGCUUCGCUUCUGCGCCCUCUCUCCGCGCGGGGACCUGUCCUAUGCCAGCACGCUUCUCCUCUCUGCCGCUGACACCAUGCUCUCCUCCUGGAACCAUGUCAUCCGCGGGUACAGCCAGAGCGACUUCCCGAGGGAAGCCACACUUGUAUUUCUCCACAUGCGACGCCGUGGGCUGAGACCCAACGAGUUCACCUUCCCCUUCGUGCUCAAAGCCUGCGCCAAGAUCAUGUGUCUCCUUCUUGGAAGACAAGUCCACGCAGAUACGCUAAAGAAUGGCGUGCAUCCCGUCGUUUACGUGCAGAACGCUCUGAUGAACCUGUAUGGCUCCUGCAGGCGGAUGGAUGAGGUGCGGAGGCUGUUUGAUGGAAUGUCUCUUAGAACGGUGGUCUCAUGGAAUACCGUCCUGUCUGUCUGCGCUGACAACGCGCUGCCGGAGGAAUCGAUCGACAUCUUUGGUCAGAUGAGGAGUUGUGGAUUUGAGCCGGAUCAGACCACGUAUGCAAUCUUGCUCUCUGCAGCAGCUGAGCUUGGGUGCCUGAGCUUUGGAAGAUGGCUUCAUGGACAACUCAUCGGAAGCAAAUUGGUGCUCAAUGUUCAGCUGGGAACCGCCCUAGUAAACAUGUAUGCAAAAUGUGGAGCUGUAAGAUAUGCCAGCCGUGUCUUUGAGAGAAUGGCGCUGAAGAAUGUAUGGACUUGGAGCGCUAUGAUUCUGGGACUCGCGCAGCAUGGUUACGCUAGCCAAGCUAUCGAGCUCUUCGAUCAGAUGGGGAAUGCUUCGGUCAAACCAAAUUAUGUGACAUAUCUCGCUGUGCUCUGUGCUUGCAGCCAUGCCGGCCUGGUCAACGAAGGGUACAGAUUCUUCCAUGAGAUGGUGGAAGAACAUCGGAUUGAUCCAACGAUGGCACACUAUAGUGCCAUGGUUGAUGUGCUCGGCCGCAAGGGAUGUCUGCUUGAAGCUUACCACUUCAUACGAAGUAUGCCAUUAGAACCCGAUGCAGUUGUCUGGAGGACGUUACUUAGCGCUUGUCAGUUGCAUGUUGCUAAAGAUGUGACAGGUAUCGGGAAGGAUGUGAAGAGGAUAUUACUAGAGUUGGAGCCCAAACGAAGUGGAAAUUAUGUAAUGGCUUCCAACUUGUACUCGGAAGAGGGAUCAUGGGAGGAAGCAGCUAAGGUGAGAAGGGUGAUGAGAGAAGAAGGUUUGAAGAAGGUGCCCGGGGAGAGCUGCAUCGAAGUGGGUGGACGGAUCUGUAGGUUCAUUUCAGGGGAUGAAUCUUGCAUCAAUUUCGAGGAUAUCUGCCAGAUAUUAGAUGGACUGAAGUUGAACAUGAAAAUGCCCUACUCUUAUCUCUAUGGAUUCUAUUGAAGCUCCCAUGUAUGCUCGACGACAACAACUGGUUUGUAACAAAGCUACAUAUCAUUGUAGAUGAGUGAUCAUGGGGCAUCGUCACAGAUACAGAGAGAUCCUGUGCAAGACAUACAAUCGUUAAGGAUUAGCAAAGCUAUAGCUUUCUUUGCUUUACAUUUUACUAACGCAUCUUCUUCCUCCAAAAACGCAAGUGUUCUUCACCGGUUGCAGAUGAUAUCACGCAGAGACGAAUACGUGCCAAUUACUGCAACAAGAGAUCCCACAACCACGAUUCCCAGAAUAUUUACCAGCUCGAGUCGCCGGACUUGGGAGACCCCAUGAAUCUUGAGGUAGCAUACGCAUGGGAACAACACCGAGACCACCACGCUCAGAAAGGAGCCAACGAAAGCCAUGAGGUACGCGAAGAAAGGAAUGGCGAGUGCUAUGACCACCGUGCCGCAGAGUAAGAGAGUUCGGAUCAGGAGACUAGGCAUCUUCCCCGGCAUUCUCCCUCGGCAAAGUGCCAGCUGUUGUUCGAUUGCCCCAGAGAUUGGAGACAUUGCCAACGCAAACUUGGUAAUAGGAUUUAUCAGUGUCGUAUAGAUUGCGAUCCUCGUGUAGGGCUCCCCGGCAGGAAGAUUGAGUGUCACCUGGGACUCCAGCUUCUCACCAUACAUAAGGUAUCCCAGAAUUGCCAUCAAAGCAUAGUUUAUAGUACAUAGGACGAACGAGAUUGAUACCACCUGUGAUGAGCCAAGAAGAAAGGUUCAACACGACGAUAACCAGUGCGCAGGCAAGAAAAGAAUUGAAAGUUCCCGCACUUACCUUGGGAAACCGAGUGCUGUCUCUCAUCGAAGAACUUAUGGUAGGAAAUACUGCGUGGCAAGUGAAGCACAUGAAGAACAAGCCCAUAGCAGUGGGUAAUCCAUUCAGGUCCAGAAUUCUGCCCUUCUCGUGAAACCCGGUGUCAACGAUGCCUGCCCAGAGCAAGGAACCGAGCAGAACUGCCGAUGCCAACACUCCUCCUGCGGAGACAUAGGCGAGAAUGCCCAAGUUCCGUGGCCAUGUGGUAGGAAGAAUCACCAGUGCAGACAACAAGAUGAAGAGCUGCUUCCCCUGCACGCUUACCGACGCGAACUUCAAACAAACGCCGGGAAACAACUUGUCUAGGUUGUCACCUUCCAUGAUCAGGAACCCAACUGCGACGAGGUAGAGCUCAAGAUACAUGAAGAUAGAGAUGACAAGCUUGCCUUUGCGCCCGAAAGCAUACUCUCCGAUAUCGGGAUAGGUUUUGAUGCACGGAUCAGCAUCCAUACAUCGUUGAAUGAGAAGGCCUGUGUAGUAACAAAUACUCGAAACAAGGACAAAAAUCGCUAAGCUUAGCCACCCUCCGAGAGAGAGCGCAUAGGGCAACGAUAGCACGCCAAUUCCUGCACAUGAAACAGCAACGGAUUAAUUAAUGGCCCCAAGUUCUUAUAUUCUUAGCAGAAGAUUAAAGCUAGGACUAGAACUUGCACUAAUAACAAGCGAGACAAAGGAGGGAGAGCACAGACCCGAGAACAGAGAGAGAGAGAGAGUACCUGAGAUGGCAUUGCUGAGAUUGAGACAAGUCCUGGCGAAGGAAGUGCCAUGUUUGGUGUCACUUGUUCUAGACGAAAGAAAUCCGUCGUCACUGUGAGUUUGGAGGAGGGAUUUCCUAAGGUCGGCAGCAUCAUCUUCUUUAAUGACCACUACGAAUUGUUCGUUGGGGUCUGUCAUCGGUAGUAAGAGUUUACCUUCCUUAGACACACUCUACUCGAUAUAUAGGACUCCAAAACCGCGUAACACACGUGCAAAUCAUUUUUUUUCCCCCAAAGGUAAAAAAAAAAUACUAUGUUAAUUCAGAACACAAAUAUUGACUCUGCUACGAAGAUCAGCAAACGAAAAACGUGAACAAUUUGCUAGUUAGUCUCUUUUCCAAACAAAAUGCCAAAAUGCAGACCAUGAUCAGACUACAAAUAGAUUUUAUAUAUAUAUAUAUAUAUAUAUAUAUAUAUAUAUAUAUAUAUAUAUAUAUAUAUAUAUAUAUAUAUAUACUAUGUUAAUUCAGAACACAAAUAUUGACUUUGCUACGAAGAUCAGCAAACGAAAAACGUGAACAAUUUGGCAGUUAGUCUCUUUUCCAAACAAAAUGGCAAAAUGCAAACCAUGAUCAGACUACAAAUAGAUUAUAUAUAUAUAUAUAUAAUAAUAAUAACAGCACUGAAAAUACACGAGGAAAUUAUGGUGAGUCAUCCAUAAUUUUCUCAAAUUCCAUCAUGUGAGUAAAGUACAACGCGUGCACAUUUCCAUGUGUAUAACGAGGUCGGUCCGCCGGCAACUUUGACGAGGUUGUGGUAGAAAGGGAUACUAUCAUUAAACUGACCUUCUACAGUAAAAUUCUGCCAUGCUGUAAUGUGUACCCGAGUAUUGAAUUCUGUCGAUCCAUAAGUGCUUUCAGACUAGGAUUUCUGGUCCACAUUAGCUCUAGAAAUCAUAAAAUAUUUGUCAACUCUUAGAAUAAAGUGUGAACGUUAUUGAUUGGCCGGUCUCUUUAGGUUGAUGCAUUGAUGAUUGAUAGAUUUGUGUCCGUGCACAAAACAGCCUUUGUGGGUUGAUAGAUUGAUGAUCAAUAAUUGAUAGAUUUGUGGAGGUGAACAAAACAGAUGGUUGUAGGAGAAUUGCCUCCCUCUCUCUAUGAUUGAUCCGUCAUUUUAGGUUAAUAGAUUAAUGAUGGGUCGAUUUUUGUAUGUCCAUAAAAUAGUCUUUUUAGGAUGAUGGAUUGAUAGAUGAUUUGUGUAAGUGAAAAUAUAUGGUCGUAGGUGAAUGCCCUCCCUCUCUCUCUCUCUCAAUCACCAUACCACUGCACUUGGUAUGAUCUUAAUUGAAAUUUGGAAACUCUGUGAGGGCUCAUAGCUUGAUUUUAUAUUAUGCUGGAAUUUGAUUGGUAUAAUCCAAACUGGAUAUGUUUUUGAUGUACCGAGUUUGAGCUAUAUUGAAUUUUACUUGUUUCACAAGAAUCUAAAAAACAGAUAAAAUUUAAAUAAUUAAGCAUAAAUUUCAUCAACUAUAAUACUACCUCAAGCUUUGGUACCAAAUCCAUAUAAAAAUUUAUUCUAAUAACAAAUUGAUAAGAUUUCUUCCGGACAGCCUUCUUUCUCUUCUCUGAAAGGUAUCUUGGAAGGGAGAAGAAAUCGAGAGGAAAACAUUAAACAAACAAAAAGAUUGGGAUAAGAUGAGAAGAGAGAAGAUCCACUCAAGAAGUAUGACGUGUAGACUCUGAUAACACGUCACAUUCAUAUGCUAAUAUAUCUAAUUGAUUCCCAAUUGCACAAGCAUGAAAACAUGUUGUCAACAAGGAUGCCGAUUCUAUAUUAUAUUACAGUCCAUUCAGUUGCGACAAUAACUGGCGAUCGUAAUGUCUGUCUGAAUGAGCUGUUAACUCAUGAUUGCAACAUCAAUGAUUUGGCGGACAAUAUCAUCGGUCGAUAACAUGUGAGCAAUCUAUGUAAGCAUUCCCAACAUUAGUUAGUGAUUAUCUUGGUUUAAUGGUCACCUUACUACACACUAUAGUGGCUCAUUCAUGUGAGCCACAAUCUCAUAUUCUUUUAUUACAUUUUGGAAUCAUAUUAAUUUAUUACUGAUUUAAAUAUCGGAUAAGCUUUGUUCAAUGUACUCCCAAUAUAGUUUUUUAGGAUUGUCAAUUGAAUCCUCAAAUCUUGAUACCUCUAUACGGAACAAACACUAAAUUGAACCUUGAUUGGGCCUUCUCGUAUGUUUGAUAAUCAAAUUUUACUUUGAAUGAGGAGUGAUAUAAAUAUUAUAUUUAUAACUUCAAUAUUGAUUUGUUUAUUAUACCUUAAAUAUCGAUCUAAUAGUAUAUGAGAUUCACUUACCAAAAGUUUAGUUCAAAAUAACUUUCAAGAGUGUCAAAAGACUUCGAUGGCUUAUCAAUACAUACAUACAUACAUAUAAAUAUAAUUAUUUAUCUAAUUUAAUCCUUUGAAUAAAGAACGAAAAAAUGUUCACAAUCAUAAAUAUUAAGGAAAAUGAUCACCACAAAAUUCAUUGAUUAGAAGACCAUAGAACUCUUAUAAUACGAGUCUAAUUUGUUAAAUAAACAACCUGUUAUUAUAUCUAUAUUAGGCUAUCGAGUAUUAAAUUAAAUAGAAGUAAGAUUCGUAUCAAAAUUUUCUUUGACCAUAAGGACAAAAAGUACUUGAAAUUCCUAUUUUAACUAUCAAUAGGCUAAAAAGUUAGUCUUGACUUAGAUAUGGACUUAGACGGACUUUAGUUCAUUCAUCUUUUAGCUUAGUCUAGAUGUCGUUGGAAAAAUAUGUUGAAACGAAAUAUUCUUUUUCCUCUUUGUAUAUCAAGAUGGGUUCCUCAUCAAAAUACAAACUUGAUAUCCAAAUGAAAAUAUCAACCAGCACAACAUAAACAAUAGAGAAAAAAUCAAUCACACAGUGAGACCAAAUAUUUUAACGUAAAAAGCCCAAUGUAAGAAAAACCACGGGACCGUAGUCCACUUCAAACUUUCACUAUCAAUAGUAAUGAUAACAGAUUUACAAUAGAUCAUAAUAACAUCAGGAACAUAAAUAUAAGUUCUAGCACGAUCUCCUCAAAAUAGAAUUUUAGAUCUCACGAAGUAGAUAUAGUAGGAAAGUAUCUUAGAGAGAGUAAACUGUAGAUCAACACCGUUAAGAUUAUAGAGUUUACUGCAAUGAUUUUCCACAUAAAAUUUGGAUCGAAAUUGAUAACAUUUGGCCACCUAUCAUAAAGCAAAAAACUUAGAAAUCUAAUCUUUUUCUCUCUCUUUCUCUCUCCUCUUUUCUCUGCAUGCCGCCGGACGCUGCACGCUCACCUGCACACACGGACGCUGCCCUGUCUAAUUUUAGACAUUUCUCUCUUAAUUAUUGAUUUGGGCUUAUGGCCCAAAUUGUCCAAGCUGGCUGGACCCAACAGAUGUAAGGAUUAAUCAAUUGUCGAUCUCGUAAAUGUAACAGGGCGAAGUAACAAUGCAUAACCCUAUCUAUCUUCUUCCCUCUUUUCUUAUUUUCGCUCUCUUUUCUCCCACUUUGAUUUCUUUCUUUUAAAAGUAUACUUUCUUCCCACAAACAAAUGAAAGACAGUUGAUAGGAACGUGUAAUUCUAUUAAUUUGAGAUUGUGAUAGGAAAAGUGGCUAGGCUGACAUGUUGGUGGUUUUUUUUUUUUCGGUUAAUAUGUCAAUACAGUAUGAUCGACACAUUUAUAGUAUAUCAUCGAUAUGAUAAGACUAUAUAGUCAAUAUGCCGGUCAUACUUAACCAAAACUUGACUCCAUGUAGUCGAUACAUCAAUGUCAUGUGUUCGAUGACUCAACUCACGUGACAAAUAUUUAUAGACCAUGCGGUUGACACAUCGAUACUAUAUGGCAAACAACGUGGUAUUAAGUGAUUGAUAGGUCGGGUAUAUAUAAUUGAUACUUCAGUAUCACAAGAAUAAAUCCUGGGCCUUGUGGGAUGACAUGUUAACAACAAACGAAUUCCACGUGAUGAGCACAUUAGCUUCCUAUGAUUCCAUGUUCUCUAACCAGCUAGUCGCCCUCCAUGUGUUAGAAAACUAUGUAAUCCUAAGUUCAACGUGUGCUAGUGAUAGUUACGAUCGAAAUCGACACUCAACAUUCGCACGAAUGAUGCACUAUUCAGAGGUAAUGACGUUGAUCACCCACUGUAAAAGGGCCCCACAGAUACAUCUUAAUACAUAAAAAUUAAAAUUCUAUUUGAUUUAUCUAACUUAUCUACUUAUUUAAGUAUUGGAGGGAUAUCAUCGAAAGUGUCUCGAGAUUCGAAUGACUAUAAGAGAAAUUCAACUUGAAAGUAGCUUCGAAGAACGAUCUGGAUCAAAUAUCAUUUUAGAUAAUUAAAAAUUGAUCUAACAUGUAUGAGCUUUAAGAUGCUGUUGAUUUGAUUAGAUUUGAAACGAAAAAGUUGUUGAUUUGAUAGAGUGAAUUAUUAAAGAAGAUAAUAGCUAAGAGAUUUAAGAUGAAUCGAUUAAAAAGCUUCCAAAUGUAUUAUCACCUUUGGGAUAAAAAAUGAGACUUUGGGGAAGUGCUAUGCUGUAAAAUUUCAUAUCCUUUUUCAUCGGUCAUGGAGCUCAUAAUAAGCCAAUGAAUCCGUACAAAUUUCCAUCGGGUUGACAACUCCCUCGGUGAGAAUUGACGAAUAGCCCGAAGGGGUCACAUAAAAUGCCUCAGGCGAUCAAAUCUGAGGGGUCCCAAUGUCACAUCGACGCCCCAAUUGUUUAUGCAUUGAUUAAUAGAUCGACGGGAUCAACUCCGAGACGACUGACUGCCUCUCCUCUCAUGACCCCUUCGGCAACCCAAGCUACCGUUAGCCGCCCUCCCCCCCAAUAGCUGCCCAAAGUUGUCAUUUGGUCGGUCAAUAAAAGCUUAAAAAUAUUUAUGUAUAUGAGAUAAAAUACGUUAAGAGGAUAAUUUCACAUGAAUAAAUUUUUUUAAAAAAGAGAGUCAAAUUACAUAUAUUAGAUCUAAAAAAAUUAAAAUUUUUAGAUUAAAUUAAUAUAUGUUCUUCUUAUAUUGCAUCGAGAAGUUAAUAGCAUGAAUGAAGUAGAAGAGAUCCUACAUGUAUUGUAUGGGCAACAGUUGCUGUGGCACCGUGGUGUCCAAUCCAAUCACACAAAGUCGCAUUAUUACUAGUACUCUGGACGAGCCCUCGUGGUUUUAACGCUAAUGAUGACAUGGUUGUACUGGUCGGGCCCCCACACCCCCAACCCUUGUUUUUGCCUCUCCGAGUGCUAUAUGUGCAUGGUUUUCAUUCAACGCCGUGGCUGCAACGUACGACUGUGUUAAGCCCCGGCGCAGAUCGAUUUGGCUGCUUGCUGCUUGACUUAUAAGCACUGCAAUUAUGCAUGCGCGGGAUGGAAGAUCAACAAGCAUUGGGAUUUCAUCGUCACUUACACAAUGGGUUCAGAUUGCAUGAUAUAAAUAUAUAUAUAUAUAUAUAUAAGCUAGAUUUCUUAUUCAUUAGAAAGCUAGAUAGGAAAAAUAUACAUAACAGCCUGUUGGCUGAACUGAUUCAGCUACAGAGAUGAUUCGUCGGGAACGUCCAAAAUGCCUGCCUGCCUGCCUUCAGUACGUGGUGCGAGGCUUGCUGGCGUUGGGGGUCUUUUUUGGAGUCGGGCACGCGUUGAGGUCUGUGAUGUUAUUGAUCUUGGAGUUGGCGUUGGAUUUGGCCAGCUUCUGUUUCAGCUCGGACAAGAGUGCCUGGUUCUCCUGGUUCAGGAGCUGCGCCUUCUUCCUUAGCCUCUCGUUCUCUUUCAUUAUGUAACAGUUCUCCCAGAACAGCUUGGUGUUGAGCCUCUCCAUCACUGGCAGAUCUGCGGGAUUCGAGAGAAGUGUUCAAUUCGUUGCGCUUUUUUUUUUUUUUUGUGCCGAAAAGAAGAAGAUGUCAGCAUGUAAAAGAGGAAGACGAAGCUCGACGCGAAACCCAUCAAGCCAGCACAUCGGAAACUGAACCCUUCGAAAGCAAAUUUGCAUUCGAGAGAGAGAGAGAAAGAGAGAGAGAGCAUUCUUUAUCAGAGGAAAUUUAACGUAUCUACCUACCUAUUGUACCACAAGUUGAGGGCAACGAAGAGACUUAAGUUUCAGCAAUGACAAGUACGAUCAGAGCGAUCUUAUCAACAACAACAACAACAACAAAAAGGAUUCAAUCGAGGCACUCUCAUUCUCUAAGAAUAGAUACGACCCUACGUGUCUAGACAUAAACCACUUCUCUCCGGAAGAAAAAUCUCCUCUGCUUCCCCACCAUGGAACGCAGAAAAGGAAACCGAGAAAGCUAUCCUGGUCGACCAACGCACUAACCUAAUGAAAGAAAGCAAGUACGAACAUCGAUCGAUCCCUCGGUUUUAGAAAGCAUGAGUAUUAGCUAACAAGAUGAGAAUCGCAUAGACAGCUUCCUUUUUCUCAAGUGGUCACCUUUCAGGUGGCUGGACUUGAAAGAGACGGAGAAAUAUAAGAGUCGCGACGAGUACCUACAGGCUAACUGGAAAGGAAGGCCUUGUUUGCGUGGGGUGUGUUGCGUGUGUGAAGGGACUAUUUAUAGUGAGCAAGAAGAGGGAAGGCAAACACCCCCGCGCCCAUGCGCAGUGCCACGACGACACAGGCAAGUGAGCGAGGAGAGCGACCGGCGGGGGAGAAAGCAACGUUGAGGACGCGGAGGUGGGGGAGUAAGGGUGGCAUCACGUGAUCCGAUUGUGGGAAUUCAAUUCAAUUCAAUUCAAUCCAAUCCAAUCCAACUCAUUGAGAUGUCACCCCGCAUGAUGAUGGUUCCGUCGGCCCAAAGACAAAAGAAGAUCUGUAAUGAUGGCGCUUCCAAAAGGGGCCACCUCCCUCCAUCAUCACCAUCCCCCGCAUUCCAUCGAUGCUCUUUUGUUUUUUCCCAUUAUUACGGUUUAUGACUUUAUUGUUACAUUUAUUAUCGAUCGACUCAGCUUCUUUCUCCCUCAUGUAGUUUUACUAUAUCCAUCUCGCUUUCUAAUUUGACGCAAGGAUGAUUGGAUCUGCCUUUAUGAGUUGGUCAGAAACAUCACCAUUAUACCGAGUGAAGAGUUCUAGAUUUGUCUCUGCUCGUAUAAGGGUGCAUGUAAUCCGAAGAUUAGAUUUUUACCAUGUUUUUUUUUUGACACCGGGAAAGUGGUCAUCUCGCCAUUUAUCAUUCAUUAGCUUCAGGAAAGAACCGAGUGAGAGAUGCAAGAAAGGAAAGAAAUCGUUCACUGGCUGCACGUGAAGAUGCAAGAAACACAGGAGUUGUUCUAUCAUCUUGCUGAUAUGCUAAUCGUAUAAUAGGUAGGUAUUUGAGUCAGAAAAAUAUGAUCGAUACUACAUUAUAACAAUUUAUAAGAACAUACCAUGUAGCAAUAAGUAACCCAAUCGAACCAGCGAUUCGGAUCGCUGUCGAAUUAGAUUAUACGGUGGUAAUUGGUGAACCCGGAAAUAUAGGUACCUGCUGUUGCUUGUGCCCCGUGUUUCAAGGAGGAGGUCCACGAGUUGUUCGAAGCUGAUGCCUUUUUUUUCCUUGUUGACGAAUCCUUUCUUGUCGGGGUUAUUUUUCUCUCUGUCACUUUUGUCUCUAACGAUCUCGUCUUAUCAACCCAUCUCUUCUUACUCUUAUUAUUAUUAUUAUUAUUAUUAUUAUCCUCGAGAUAUGUAUGUUGGUAAAAGCUUAAUCAGCGGUUGAGACGGCAGCAAAACAUUCGGUGUCAGGUAAAGUUAUAUCGCUAGGAAAUAUGAUGGAUGUGCAUCUUUAUGCUGCAAGUAUUGUUCGACUCUAUGUUGAUUUAUCUUUAAGAUAUGUACGUCGCUAAAAGCUUCGUCUUGUCAGGUAAAGUUAUGUUGAUGGGAAAUAUGAUUUGUACGUUGAUAUCAUUUUACAAAGGUAAUUUAACUUUUCUUUGUUGUUCCUUUUUAUGGAAGACUGGUAAAAGGAUACCAUCUUAAUCUCAAAAGCUCUGAUGCAUCAUCCGAUGGUGGAUCGGAUGGCUCAUGAUAUCUACAAAAAACAUUUGCGUUAAUCACUGAUGUUUUGUUCAAAGCAAUCAAUCACCACCAGUUUUGAGGAUCUUCCCACAUGCCUCGUAUGGCUCCAAGCAAAGCUCGAGUGCUUAUAUAUGUCAUGGCGGCAGCAUGCAGGAGAUGUCUCGUAUUCUUCGCCACCGAAAGAGACUCUUAGAUAGCUAGCUCCAUUUGGCUCAUCCUUGGUUACAUAAAACGUAUGGUCUCCGACUCAUUUUGGGAUUGCUGCAAGGGAUGGAGAGCUUUCCAUAGACGUGGCAGAAACCCUAAGAACGGAAAGGACAUUUUCUUCGUCUACUACGAAUGCAUGCACGCAUUACUUACAUGGUAGGAUCCUGUUUUAGUAUAAUGACAUUGGUAGGAUUUGAUUCCAUGAGCAAGAAACCCUGUAGGUGACGGUCUCGUGAGAAAAGAGAACUGUGUGUUCAUCCAUCAAGGACAGGGAAGAGGGGGGGGGUGGGGGGGUGGGGGGGGGGGAGACAACCAGGUGCAUGCAGAGUUGCAGAGAUAAAAUUGCAUGCUCAGAGAGUACUGCAGCUGCAAUCGAGUGAGUUGAUGGCCCACCCAUAAUGAACAACAACACACCCCUCUCCGUAUAUGAACUCGGGCAGUAACACGCCUACUAGGAGUGAUUCAUUGCCCUCCGCAGCGGCCAAAUCGCGUUGACACAUCAUGGGCGUUUUGAACGCGGUCGAGAGCAGGGAAGAAGAAGACAGGCAAAUCAUAACAUGGCAGCAGAAAGCUCAGUGGGACUGCCACUGUAGAACCCCACGGAGCUUUGUACUGAGUCCAAAGUAUAGGGCAGGAGAAGUUACUAGCGUCACAUGGUCUGCAUCAGUAGUGGAAGCUUUUCUCCUGCAGCUAAACUUGCAGGAGGGGGAGGUAGUCCUUUGCCGAGGGGUCAUCCAUGAGAACUUGCACUAAUAAAUCCAGCCCAGAUCGAUAUAUAGGAAAUUGCAGGAGCGGAGGAACGAGGACCACUCCCCAUUGUUUCAGAAGCUUAAUCAUUUACGACCUUUCGAGGAGGCAUGGUGUGGUACGAGUACGUAGCCACUUGGUCAAGCCCUCUUAUGAUUGCCAUGCCAUGUUAUUUACUCGGUCAAGUCCUUCAAUGAUUGCCAUGCCAUGUUAUCAGGGCUGGUGCUAUGAGACUUGUGAAAACUCCACCUGGUAAUGCGUUGUUACAUCUUAAUUUCACAAUCGCCCAAUUCUUUUUCUCCACCAAUAUUUGGGUUUUGAUUUCAAUCAUGAUAUUGUAAUUAACAACUUAAGAUAUGAAGAUUUAUGUUCUUUAUUGAUAUUAUAAGUCAAGACAAACUAAAGAGGAUUGCUAUUGUCGAUGGGGAAAGAAAUUAUAGGAUUGGAUGGUUUUAUAGUCACUGGAAAUUGGGAACAGACCAAUCGGACUUGAUGAAGCUUGAUCAUGUCCAAUUACAUCGGAAUGAGAAGGCGAGAAUCGAUUGGUAUGUUUGGAUUAUAAGAGCAUAAGGCCCUCACACCUACAAAUCAAAUCAAUUAAUGGAAAUAGGAUGCGGGAGAAACAAUCGAGAAAAGAGAGAACAGAAGACUUAAAGAUCCAAAUACGAAGAACAAGAUAAGGAAUUGGAAAUUUGGAAUGCCCAAGCGACAGGAUUCAUGCACCUAUUCUUGUAGAACGACCCUGGAUGAUGCUGAUUUGACUCUUGGUUCUUCGAGUAAUGUUCGUUUAAGAAUGGUAAACAAAUGAAUGUGGGCAAUGGAUGUUCUCAGAAUAUGCUGCCACUAUGAGUAUUAAAUGAUGUUCGUCACUGGUUGAUUUGGUUGAACUGACUGCAAGCUUAUCUGUAUAAUCUAUUCCAAAGCUACCACUUGUAUGCAUCGUGAUCUAAAGUGGAUGGCGCAUUAGAGUUUGUGGUGUGCCUUCGUAUACACUUUCCUCUUUUAAUUUAUUUGGUAUCAUUACUUAUCGUAAUUCCUCUCCUUCUCCAACCCUAAGGUUUUACAAACAUUUUAGCUAUCUUGAGAGAGAGAAGACCCUGAAGGAUUAAAUUAAAAAAUAAAAAAAAUCAAAAAAAUUAUGUGAUUUGAUAAUCCUUAUUUAGAUCUUGAAGAAAAUCAAUUUUUUUAAUAAAUAUAUCCUUUAAAUUAAUUCAAACGUUACCAACCACUUAUACAUCCUCUUAUAUAAACCAUGAAUAACUUUUAUCUCCAUCAUCUCUAGAAUAAAUGAAAUCUCGGGACACUAAAAGUAUAUUCCUUUAUGCCUUUUAAGACUCGAGACAUCCUUGAAAAUAAAUUCACUAUGAAUUUUUUUUCCUACUUAAAUUCUUAAUUUUAAUAAUAAUUCUAAUUCUUUGAACAGUUUAAAUAUAAUUAGAACUAUUGAAAUACUUAUCGAUCCUAACAAGAUAUGCUUAAAUUAUUUAUUUAUUUUUAUUUUAUAAUUUAUUUAUAAUUUUUAAAUAUUUUAAAUUUUUUGAUCUCUUUCAAGAUGAUUUGGUAGAUAUGAUCAUACCUAAUUCUUGUAACCAAAAUAUAAAAUUAACUUUCAACUAAAGUGAGGUUGCUUGAGCUGUUAGGUAUGACAUCCAAAUCGGGUGGUCCUUUUCAUUUGCAUUGGUAAGUCAGUAGGGAGAAUAAACAAAAAGUAAUAGUAAUAACAACCAUAAACGCCUACAGUUCCUAUCCGAUGAAAGAAAGCUCCGUCCACCACACCGCUGUUGCAGACGAAGCUAUACAUUCACUGCUUAAGUCAUCUAUAUCGGAGCAUAUUAAUGAUAGCGCCUGAUUUGAUUUGAUAGGAGUUAAAUCACAAGAAGAAUCGAUCAUAAGGCGUAGCGUUCUCGAAUUCUUUUUUGAUUGGCUAAUCCUAUCCUAAUUUUAUAACGAUGGAUGUAAGUGUACGAGUCCCAUCAACUUCAGAACCAUCCGACUUCGUUUCAGCGCUUCAAGAUUCGGGGAAUUACAGAUCGAGUGGUACCGCAUAUGACAUCGUCAUCGGACGAAAGCUAAUCGGCCACAUCAUCGUUCUCGCCACGUCAGUAAUUUGCAGAGCGCCGCAGUCACCGAGAACGUCUGCUUCCAAGCGAAGAGGCCGUUGGAUAUUCGCCAGCGGCGCACUGUCGUUAUCAAAUCGAUCUCGGCCGUCGAGCGAGAAAAAGACAACACACGAGCGGGCACGCGUCCAACGGUCCCGCCCCGCAGCCAGAGUUGCAAGUCCACGGUUUCGCGCGUGGCCGGCGUCGCCCUCACACCGCGAAACAAACGGGUGGCCGUGCUGAAUCAUCAGUGAGAAGUGUCACGGGUGGUCUCACCACGCACAAGUUGAGUGAGGGUAUAUUCGGCCACAUCACGUAUGUGAGAAGUCCACAUCAGCCCUGGAUUAUCGAAGGCUGCCUCAGCCAUACAAAAUUGUCGCCUCCGGUGACUAGCGCUGCUUAUCAUGAGCUGAAAACACCCUUCAUCUCCGAGCAAGAAACAAGCACAGCCGAGCCAAAUCCAUCCGCAAGCUAGGCAACGUGAAACGAGCCAUUCCUCCCUCUGACCCUUCUCCGGCAGGAAUAGUGGAGUGAUAUAAAGAGAAGGGUAAGGAAUAGGAGAGAAGAGAGUAGAUUUAUCGAUAAUGGCGUCGGGUGAUUUCAGGCUUUUGAGGCCGUUGGUUCACUUGCUGGUUCCGUUGUUUAUCCAUUGGAUCGCGGAGGAGAUGACGGUUUCGGUGCUGGUGGAUGUUACGACUCGAGCCCUCUGUCCCGGCCAAAGCUCCUGUGCCAAGGCCAUCUACAUCAACGGCCUCCAACAGACGGUGAGUUCUUUCUCUUCUAUGCAUACCUUUUUUCCUUUUGAAAAGGGAGGUGUAAUUUUUUCUGUACUCGCUGAGCCGAUGACAAAUGCUUUUCGGAGCUUUCAGAGAAACUGCGAUAAGUAGUCUUCAUGUUUUGUUAGAUUUUGAUGGCUUUGGAAACAGAAUGGAUAGAUAUAUGAGUUAAGUUUUGUAAAACUCAGCUGUAUUAUGAUCAAUUUUCUACGGUAAAAUGGUCUUUUAUCUGUUUAUUCCACAGACUUCAUGCUUGAAGUGACAUAAUAAUUUAAUAUUAAUCAACUUACUCAUAUUUGUAAUACUUCAUUUCGUAUUUAUAAAGUUUAUUUGCUUAAAAUUCUAAUCUAAGUUGACCAGAAUAAAAUGGCCUAAUUUGCUUAUUCUAAUCUAAGUUGACCAGAAUUAAAAUUCUAGUCAAAGUUCAUUUUAGUUUGUCCAACUAAUUUGCUUAUUGUGGCCUCAAAUUAUCAUCUGUUAAACUCAUGCAUCCUCUUAUCACUGGAUCAGACUGAAAACCCAAUAGCUCAUCUGUUAACAAAUUCUCAUCUGUGAAACUGGCCACAGAAAUGAGAUCCAUAUCUUCUGCAAUUGGUUACCUCACUUAACAAUGGCAAACAGAGGGAAUCAAUAAAAACUCCAAAGUUUUUUAUUCCUAGCAACGUAAGCUGUGUUGCAGUAUACAAUCCGUUAUCAUGCUUGCAGGGUGUUUUGUAGGAAUAAGAUCAUUUGAUUUCCUUAUAAGCUUUAUGACCAUUAAAGACUGCUAUCUGCAUUCAAUAGUCAUUGUGGCAUGAGGUUACUUUGAGUCUAAUGAUAUGUAUGACUCAACUUAUACGGCCUCUUUGAGUAAGAAUUAUAUUUGGACAAUUGAGUUGAUGUCAUUCAAAUAAUUGUUGUUGGGUGUUCAUUGGGAUUUUCAUUCUUACUUUCUCUUCCAUUUAUAUCUAGAAACACAAAAAUGAAACUUGAUAUUUGGUAUAUCGAAGUGUUCUCAUACAAAUUUUUAGGAUAUGAUUUCACACUUCUACAAUCAAUUGAGGUAUUCAUCUUAAUGUGGCAUGAUUUGAAAGAAAUCUUUAAUGUCCUUGUAGGUUGUUGGAAUAUUUAAAAUGGUGGUGCUUCCCAUCUUAGGUCAGCUAGCAGAUGAAUAUGGGCGUAAACCACUGCUUCUCAUUACUAUCUCCACAUCUAUAGUCCCAUUUGGUAUGAGUCUUCUCUAAUCCCUAGAUGCAUACAAGUAAGGCAACUUCUAUAACUUGUUUUGUUCACAUUGUUGAGUUUGGUUUGUUGAUGUACAAAUAGGUGUGAAAGUUUUUUUUUAGUUUGUAAUCUCAGUCUAUCAGAAUUGCUGAGGAUGCAUAAUUUUGCUAUUAGUGAGGGAAAUACCUGAUGUUAUUAUUAAUAUAUUUCAUUUAAUAACUCAUGAUAUUGUCGGGAUAUAAGUAGGUCAUAGUAUCAAAUUCACAAUUUAUGGGUAGUACAACAACACAACAAAAUAAUUGUACUAAGGAGUUGUUACCUUAAAAUGGUCACUGUUUUGUUGAGACUAUCUCUUAACUCGUAUGUGGUUUUAUCUUAGCAUUAUUUUCACAAGGUCACAAUGGUCAUUUAAAAGAUUGAUAGGCUUUGAGUCUUUCCGAGUAGGAACUGAAUACUCUUGCAAGAAUCAUAGCUCUUUUUGUUGUAGUGGCCUUGUGGAGCAAAGUUGAAGGACAAUAACUAGAGAACGACAAUGUUUUGAGAACAGUGGUUGAUAGACUCGGUGGUGUUUAUGGCUCACACAAUUCAUCUCAUUCAGUUGGCUUGGGCAUUAGUCAAUCAGCUGGAAUUGUCGACUUUUUCCCAAAAGUGGCCAAUCCAUUUGAUCACCAGUAAUAUUCAGCCGAUUUCUAGCCAUUCCUAGACACUUUCCAUCCACUUUUGGAGCAUGUUCUAAAAUACUAGUCUGAUACUAGUUCCAGUAAAAUGUUAGAUCAGUAUGGUGUUGUUACAUCAGGUACUUUAUCUACCUAAUAUUAUUGAAUAAAAUUUUAAAAUAAUAUAAAUGAAAUAUAUAUGUACCAGUGUUGAACAGUAUCUUUCAGUAAUGGUACUUGAUCGGGCUGGUAAAUGCCAACUGGUAUGUACCAGUUGGUUUGGUAAUUAAAACCUUGGUUCUUACUGCCAUACCUGAUUUCUUAGAAUAUAUUGAAUCACUCUUGGCUGAUCUUGACCAAGACCUUGAAAACCUAGUAAUAAAAAAUGGCUUAAUUUGUUACCUUAAUUCUCACAUGCUUGUAGCUUGUUCUUUUUUGAAUCGGUCAAUAUGUUGUUAUCAUGUAAAUUUCUUGAUGAAGCUCUUUCCUCUAUCUGUCUCAAAAUUAACUUUGUAUGUUGUAAUUACAGCCAUACUUGCUUGGGAUGUUUCUAGAGCAGCUGUCUAUAUAUAUUUUGUACUUCGCACAAUAUCAUAUAUUAUAAGUCAAGGAAGCAUAUUAUGCAUAUCAGUUGCUUAUGCGGUGAGCAGUUGUCAUUCUUCUAUUUGUUUCUCUUUUAUAUGCAAAGAAAUUAAGUGAAAUGCCUAUUUCCCAUUAAUGAUUAGAUUUGUGACUAACUUAAAUAUGUUGAGUAAUCAUGGAACAUAUUGCAGAAUGCUUGAAUUCCACCAUUUAUUAUGAUGUAGAUUCCAAAAGCUUUCAUGGAUAGUUUAAUAUAAUAUCUUUAAUGUUUAAUAUGUGAUCCAACAAUGAGAUUUUACUUAAAUAGAGAAGAUAAUUGCAAAAUUGUAAUGAUCAACCACUUUGCUUUUGAAGAAUAUUUCACUGCAUAUUCUAGCUUCAAAACAAUUCCAUCAAUAGGUGCUAACUUUUUUCAUGUUACUCAUAUGUUUGCUUUGGUAUACAAAAAUUUAAGGGGUUCAAAAGUGAGAAUGACACCGAAACUGUGAACUAAAUAGAAAAAGGAGUUUUUUUGCUUAUAAAAUGGAUGGAAGCACAUACUAUUAAAUCAUUGAGUGUGUUAGAAACUUAGAAUGUAAAAAAAUAUUCUCCUAUCAUCCUUCUAAUAAUAUUUCAAGCAAUCAUCUUUGUUGCUUUCUGCAGUAAAUACUCUCAGCACAAUUUCUUUCUGUAGAAUUCACUUAAAAUGUUGGUACAAAUAUUGUAAUACUAUGUAUUUACUAUCUUUGUCAGCCAUAUGUGGAGCAAAAACUUCCGUUACUCAUUACUAAGCAUAAAGAUUAGCACCAAUUAUUGCCUAUUUCACCUCAUAAUUUACUGAAAUAUUCUAAUUUGACAAGCAUUAUAUAUAGGUUUCUUUGUGAAUUACAAAAAGGAUUAUAUAUUUUUCUCCCAUGCUAAGGAUUGAUGUAGUGCCAAUUCAAGUAAUAUUUCCUUCUCAUCUAGGCUGAUGUAAUUGAGGUCAGCAAGAGAUCUACCACAUUUGGAUGGAUUACUGGACUUUUUUCUGUUUCUCAUGUACUGGGAAACAUCUUGGCUCGCUUUCUACCUGAAGGAUGGAUAUUUGAGGCAUGUUUUAGAUAAUACUUAUAAGGUCACUUUCUUUAUUAACAUUGGAAAUUUUUUAUAUAUCCUUAUUUGAUAUCUUAUUAUUUAUCAUGUAUAGGUGUCCAUAUUUUUGUUGGUUUGUGCCACGCUAUACAUGAAAAUUUUUCUGAUCGAGACGGUCAAGGUAGCUCCAAGACAAAGUGAAAACAGAUCAUGUUCAUUCAUUGUGCUCGAGGUCUUGCAGGACCGUUGGAACUCUAUGAAAGAUACUAUUUUUGUUUUCAGUAGUAGGUAUUAUGUUGAUCUUUUUACCUACUGUUUGGGGUGUGCUUUGUCAAUUUUCAUAACAUUCACUCUACAAUACAUCUGUUAGAGUGUCUAUCUAUUAUUUAAAUUCUUAGGAUCAUUUUAGAGGAACUGAUUGUUCUUCUGUCAAUUUGCAAUAUAUUAUUUAGUUGGUGUCUCUGCCAACAUAUAUAGUAUGUCCACCAGCUUAAAUUCAAACUCUGCUUGUGGUUCAUUAAUGGAAAAUGAUUAUUGUUCUUUUCCACUAACCUAGACUUCUUAUAAUUGUAGUACCACUCUUAAGCGAAUUUCAUUCAUUUCCUUCUACUACGAAUUGGGGAUGUCUGGCAUCAGCAGUAUCUUGCUGGUAUAAUUCUUUCAUUAUUCUUCUCUAGUAAUAUUUUCUUGUUUAGGUUUUUGUUAAUGUUUACUUAUGUUUGCUUCUUAAUAUUAUAUUUUUUUUGUUAGCUAUUCUCAUGUUUAAGCUGCUAGGGCAUACAAAUGAGUGGACACUUAUGUAUGUUUUUUGUACAGUACUAUCUUAAGUCAGCCUUUGGCUUCAACAAAAACCAGUUCUCAGAAAUUCUACUGAUGGUCAGCUUCGGGUCUAUAUUUUCUCAGGUGCUGCAAUGGCUUUUAUGUACCAUGCCAUUCUUAAUCUUGCUUUCCUGUUUGUAUCCCUUGUUUGUUCCUCAAGCAUCAAAUAUAACAUUUGUAUAUACAAAAAAUCUUUUCAUUCUGGAAAUUGCAUGUAGUGGCGUCGUCAUCAUACUUCAAGUAAUUGGGUUAGUACCAGACAGUGAAUGAAAAUCUAGGACUGUAGGACAUUCAUACAAGUGAGCUAGGCUAACAAUUUAUUAUAAUCAUUAUUAAAAUUUGCCAGUAACCAUAAUAGCUGCCACACCAUCAUCGUAAAAUCUAUUGCUUGAGUAGAUAUUUUCUGGACCUGUAAACAUCUUUCGUAGUUGACCCAACUUUUGAGCUGUUUAAACUUUAAACUAGAGGGCUGUGAUGAUAAGGCAUACAGAUAUAGAUUCCAAAAUAUAAUUUGAUAGAUAUUUCAAUUUCAUAAUUUAUUUCCACUUCAGCACUAUUCAGCUAGACCAGGUUUAAAAUUCACCUUUUUCCACUUGCAUCUGAUCAUUUUUCAUUGUUUCUUGCUAUAUGCAUUAACUGGAGAUCCUUUCUGAGCAGUUGGUAAGCACAUUAUAAAUUCCUUUAACUUGCAUUUUACAACUAUCACACAUACUUCUAAAGUAACAAAAUAAUUGUUGACAAUUAAUUUAACAGACCAUCACUGUGUAAGCUGCAUAAAUGUAUGGCUAUUUGGACAUGAUCAAUGAACCUUUUUGUAUAAUAUGCAUCAAGGUUAUGUUUAAUUGAUGGAUAUUUUCAAGUGGAAAGAAGAGGUUUUUGUGGUAAGUUUUAAGUUCAUGACAAGCAAUUUAUACUUAGUGAGAUACUAAUGCAACUGAAUGUAGUUUGAUGACACAUAAAUUUAUCAAUAUUAUCUAUUGUGCUUGAUGUCUGAAGUGGCUGAUUUCUUUUCUUUUCUCUUUUUGUAGAUCUUGGUUCUUCCACAUAUUAAUUCUCUUAUGGGAGAAAAGGGUGUUCUUUGUAUCGCUUUGAUUGCUUCAAUUGCUUAUGUUAGUCUUGAUCUUCUUAGAGAUAUUGUUAUUGGUGUGAAUUAGCAAACUUCUUUUAAGUUUAUGUAUUCCUAACCCAUCUUUCUCUGUGCAGGGUGUGCUUUAUGGCUUGGCAUGGGCACCUUGGGUAAUGUUUUUCUCCACAAUACAUCCUCUAUUUGGAUUACAUUUAAGUCGAUAAAAUUAUUUAAAAGACAAUGUGAACUGCAUGUUGUUUAAGAUAUUUCUAGCUUUAAUUACAUAACUUCUACAGGUUCCGUAUCUCAGUGCAUCAUUUGGAGUCAUCUAUGUCCUUGUUAAACCAUCUGUAAGCAUUUUCUCCGUUUGAGGAAAUUUGUUGUUAUAAUUUGGCUGAGUCUGAAAUUUUAAAUAUACCUAGAUGGUUAUAGUUUUACAUUCAAUAAGAGCACUUUUAAAAUUUAUACUAUUAAAUAGCAUCUAAAAAGUUGUUAGUUUUCAUCGAGUUUUGUUCCUUACCAAUGCUAAACUGAGAUUCUUCAUUCACAGACUUGUGCUAUCAUUUCGAAGGCAGUUAUUUCAAGUGAUCAGGUAUUUUGUAAUAUCAUUGCUAUUUGAGAAUAAAUUCUGAAUAAUCUAGAAAAUAUAAAUAUCUACUGCCUUCAAAUAUCAGUCAAAAAUUGAUUUAAACAUUUUAGACAAUAAAAUUUAUAUGCUGAUAGAUGAUUUUACAUGAGCAUAGUGCUAGCUGAUUAUUAAUUGCUUAACUGAGUUCUUGUCGAAGGACAAGUACCAUAUCCAAAGAAAUGAAGGCCACUUUGCAAUAAUCAUAUUGGCUGGUGAUGUAGGGUGAGUUUAUGUUGUUGGGUCUAAGUGAGGCUAACUGAUAUCUAGAAUUGAGUUGUGAAUUUUUUUUUAUGAAUUUUUGUUACCACUUAAAUUCUGUGUGAGAAUUUAACCUGAUCCAAAUUCACAUCAGCCCAGAAUUUCAGUCCAAACUUUGCGCAGCAGGCUGACCUCCAAUGGAUCCUGCAUCAACAGGUUUCAUUGUCGGGUAUUAGAAUUUUUGUGUCAUGGAGUUCCCUACAUUUAAAAUAGGUGCAUGCAAGGAAUGAUGUAUGACCCGGAUAGGGUCUGGCUGAGAACCAGUACGUGGACUGCCCUUGUAUCGGACAGUCCAGUCCAACCCACUAAAAAAGUAAAAAAAUAAAAAUAAAAAGCAGUUUUCUGUCAAUUAGGCUCACGAACACGAACCCUCUUCAUUGUGUGUGGGGAGCGCAAAAUUGCCACAACCACCUGAUACCGCAUACCUCCCUGCUGCUGCCAUUAGCCGCCACCUAUCUCCCCACCAUAGCAACCACGAGUACCCUUCCUAGUCUUUGUGCACGCUUCCUCUUCUUCUUUCUACCUCCUUCCUCUUUGUCCUCCACCAUCUCCUCUUCUUCCACCUCCUCUUCUUCCUUCAUCGUCUUCUUCCUCCACCCAUCUGUUCCUUCCUCUUCUUCUUCUUCUUUGACUUUGAAACACUGGUAUGUACCAAUGUACCCUGUGUUUGAACAUUGGUAUUGACUGGUAUGUACCAGUCCUACAUAGGGACCGAUACAGUUUAUGGAAAUAAUCUCAAGUUUGUACAGUUCUUAUGCCUAUUAAAUGCGCGUGUGUGUGUGUGUAUCAAUGGCUUGCAUGGAAAAGGAAAACGUGAAAUUAACAAAAUUAAUUUUUACUUUUUUCACAGUAUAACUCUGAUAUUCCUUUUUUUAAUUUUAAAUAGUUUAGACCAUGGCUGAAAGACAAUUUAAUACUGAAUGAAACACUGCCAAUCUACUUUUGAGUAAUUGAGCUGUAUAUUUGACUGGGAGUCCAAGGGAACAGGAAUUUUGUUGUCCAUGGUUGAGUGUAGAAUGUUGUUCAUGUUACAGGGAAAGGCACAAGGACUUAUUGCAGCUGUGCAAUCUGUUGCAAGCUUGUUAUCACCUGUUGUAAUGAGUCCACUAACAUGUAAGUAGACUAUAUGUUCGGGAUUUGCAAGUAUCAUACUAUCAUCAUAUUUUGCUGAAAUUUCAGAGUUGCACACUUCACGACUAACCUCUUUCAUCUCUGCAACACUUGAUCCAUUCAGCUCUCUUCAUUUCAAGCGAUGCUCCUUUUGAUUGCAAAGGUUUUAGCAUUUUGGUUGCCUCGAUUUCUUUGGUAUGCUAUUUCACUUUUUUGCGUGCAUAUGCACAAACAUGAACUUCACAAAUGCACAAGAACUGUAGGCUCACAGUCUGAUCUAAGUUAUGUUUGUGUGUAGAUUAUCUCAUUGGGCCAUGCUUCUCUGCUCCACUCAGAAAAUUCGAAUAAACUGCCUGAGCAUGAGCCUGGGCAGUAUGGGGAUGAAACUGUAGAAGCACCUCUACUGACACAGCCUUAAGUUGCUGUUGUUAUACAGUUAGUAGCCUUUUGUCAUCACAAGGUUAUAUAUCUGAGGAAAGCACGCUGAAAUCAUCUUCCUACAGUUGAACAGCUUGAAGGACUUUCUUUAAUCAAAGUGGUUUGCUAGGUUGAAAGAAGCUCUACUCGUUUGAGGCAAGAGGAUGUAAACGUACGGUAAGGUUCCCAGUGGCACCAAAUUGGGACUCCGUAUACCUGCUAGUCCAAGCAUAAUUUGUAUUGUACAUAAUUAAUGGAAACAACGAGGCUUUGCCCUCGAUUUGUAUUGUAGAUAGGUGGAUAUUCUCUAGACAUUAUGAGGUCCAUCAUGUGUCAGUGAUCGUCAAUUCUUGAAUGCUAUGGUUGGAAAAGACAAUUGUAAAAUGACGAUUAAAGUAAGCAGGCAAUCUUGUAGCCAUUGCUUGUCCGUGGUAUCUAUUCUCUUAGGCAUAUGCACCAUUUGAACUCUUGGAAAUGAGAUUAUGGCAAUAUGUUGGUGUCGAUUGGACAAUCUUUUUGUGAAAGUGUUUCCUCCAUAUUUCGUAUAAUACUUGUUUGUGUUUGCUUCAUCAACUUACUUUGGGUCCAGAUUUGUUGACGUACCAUUUACUUUUAUCUAUUACGAACUUCGAAUUUGAUCUCAUUUCAUAAAGUACCUAAUUUGUCACUUCCUUGCGUCCGGUAUAUCAUUACAUAAAUAGAUAACUGAAGGAAUAUAUAUAUAUAUGUAUAUAUAUAUAUUGGUGCUUAAAUUCCCCAUUAGCUUCUGUAGCAUAUUUUAUUCUGAUUUAAAGAGAAAAGAAUUAGGUUUGCCAAUUGUCAGUUGGAAAGAGUGGAUGAAGCCGUCUAAUUCGGAAAUAAAGAAGCCACAGAAAUCAUCAAGGUGGGUGCGUCUUCCCAGGCCAGGCAAGUGGUGUUCUCGCGACCGCCUCGUCGACCCUUCCCACGUCCAUCAGAGGAUUACGGAUACUACAAAAGGGCGUUAAGGUAUCCAAAAUUUUCCAGUUGCGUAAUCAGAUGGCUGAGAUGGGCGAAGCCACCGCAGCCGACCGGGCGGUGCUCUGCAUCGGGGACAUCCACGGCUACAUCUCCAAGCUGCGUUCCCUCUGGUCCAACCUCGAGGCCGUCGUAGGCUUCGAUUCCUUCGCCACUGCCCUCGUCAUCUUCCUCGGCGAUUACUGUGACCGCGGCCCCCACACCCGCGAGGUCAUCGACUUCCUCAUCGCCCUCCCUUCCCAAUACCCGCGGCAGCGCCACGUCUUCCUCUGCGGCAACCACGACCUCGCCUUCGCCGCCUUCGUCGGUGCCCUCCCGCCGCCACCCGACGGCUUGCCCUUCUCAGCCACCUGGGCGGAGUACGCACUGAACGAGGAGCGGGAAGGCUGGUUCAAGGGAGAGGGCUACGAGGCCAUGCACGUGCAAGGAAGGCGAUGGGGCGGUGACAUAGGCGGCCGGUUUAACCCCAAGAAGGGAAUGGCCUAUAAGGGUUCCAUCUAUGAUGCUGGGCCAACCUUCGAGUCCUAUGGCGUUCCCCAUGGCUCUGCGGGUAAGCCAAUCGAUCCCUUGUCCCGAUCUAGCUUUGAUUUUUUUCUUGAUUUUACGAGAAAGAGUGUGAUCUCCAUUUCUCGGCUCGGCGAUCUUUGAAAUGUCCUAAUUAAGCUUGAAAUGAUGUGAAUUGGUUCUUUCCAUGCCUUUUUUGUUUCUAUCCUCAGUUUUUGAGCUGCAAUUAGCAAAAUUGUUGUCAACGAAAUUGUUAGUCAGUAUAACUUACUUUGUUCUGUCAACGUUUUUUAUCAUCCAUGGAAAGAAAGGAAGUUACGAUCUUCAAUCUCAUGUUGUGGAAGCUUUUUAGUUCUGUGGGUUCUGUUGUCAUGCUACUACUGUUGAUCGUGUGGUUGUAAGUUGUUUCAUAGGGUUUCUUCUAAUAGAUGGUGAAUAAUGUUGAUCCUCUGAGCCUUUUGCAUAUACUGGUUUCACAGAUUUGGCCAAAGCAGUCCCUGAUACCCACAAGAAGUUUCUUUGUGACUUGGUUUGGGUUCAUGAGGAGGUAUCAUGACUUAUUGGUUACUUUAAUUUUUUUUAAAAUAGAUUAUUUCUGAAAUGAAGUGAUUAAUUCUGGUCUUGUAUUGGUGGUUUUUAGGAUAAUGUACUGAUUGACAGUCCUAAAGGAAGGACUUCCUGCAAAUUGAUUGCCGUUCAUGCUGGAUUAGAGAAAUCAAAGGGCGUGGAGGAACAGCUAAAACUUUUGAAAGCUAGGAACACAAUUUUACCAAAGGUGGAACAACUUAGCGGGCGGCAUGAUGUGUGGGAAAUGCCAAAGGUAACACUAGCUAUUCAGUUGUUUUGUCGCUCACUUCGUUCGCUGUUUAGUUUUGAUGAACUAACUUGGUAUGAAUCUGGGAGGACAUUUUUUGAAUCUAAAAUACGUUUGGAACUUGCAAGCAUGUUCAUUAGAGUACUAUUUAUCAUGACUUUCAUCUUCACGCUUGACUAAUCAACUGAUUCAUCUAAGCAUUUAAUUUAAAAUAGAACUUUGAUUUGAUCUUUCUGAAUAAAAAGAUAAUUCUAUCAAACUUAUUUGAUCAGCAUACAAACAAGAUGAAAUAACUUGCAAUACGCUUGAAAUCUUAAGAAAAUAGGAUCCUUCCAAACACAACUAAUCUACUCAUCCUACUCUGAUUGGCUAGCCAGUGGGAAGACUCAUAAAAAUUACCAUACAUUUUCAUCCCAACCAUGAAUGUUUUCCAUUGGGCCCAGGCAUAGCAGGGCUUGCUUGGCUUUAGAUUAGUCAUUUAUUCUAUCAAAAAGCCCACAAAAAAGUACAGUUGGAGUAACUUGUUCUAGCAUAUACCAUACUUUCAACUGUUCAUAUGUUUCUUAAUAUGGUUAUACUAGCAUAAGUUAUACAAGUUAUCUACCUACCUGAAUCAUAAUUUAAGAGAUCUAAGUGUCUCUUAUUAUACAUAGGCUUUUUUGGAAUGUUCCAACCCUUACAUGUAUGAAAGACGAUGAUCACGGGAUGCUUCACUUGGAGACUUUAUAACAUUUGCGCAUUAAUUUAGUGAUAUUUUAGUAAAAAAUAUCUGUUUCUUUCCUUUUACCUUAUCGGGGGGCUUCCUGUCCUUGAAUUGGAGAAAACCUAAUUGGAGGGUCAUAUCCAAUCGUUUGGUAUAAAGAGACAAGCUUUCAUAAUAAACUGAUGUAACUCACAGUAGCAAAGAUAUCUUCUACAAUAUGAUGGGGUCAUAGAAUAUACAACUGUCAAUUUUGCCCGCAGGUGGUAGUGGCAAAAACAAUCUUAUUUCAGCUCUUCAAUAGACAUUGUCAUUCUUUGAAUUUCAGCAAGGCUUCCAAUGUUGUUGGCAGCUGUAGCAUACUCUCAUUUUGAAUUUCUUUUUAUCUCGUAUGAGUUGUUGGGCUUUUCAGGGGAAUUAUCCAUCUUUGGAGUUUACAGGGACAAUCGAUCGCUACAAUGGCACUUCUGAACAAUUCUUUUAGGCUUCAUUGUGCUGCGACAAUGCCCUCGAAUACUCUUUUGGGGCUACCCUUUACUAUAGUGCCUCCAUCUAUCUGAAAUGAUCUUCUCUUGCCUCAUCUAUCAUCAAACUUACCACAACCUUUGUCCACCCUUUACUAUAGUGCCUCCAUCUAUUUGGAAUGAUCUUCUAUCUUCUCAUCUAAUCAUCAGAUAUAUCACAAUCUUUGUCCAUCCUAUCAAUGAUGUUGAUCUGGCCUAGCGAUGUGCAUUGUUCUAUGCCCAAUCGAUGAAGAUAUCUGUGAAAUUCUAGUCAUUCAGAUCCAUGGCAAAACAUCAUACUCUACUUUGCCAUAAGGAGGUUGGAUUAACUUAACCUUACCAACCUGUCGUGUUCUUGAUCCGGUAUGACACAUCUUCUCUCAAAGAAAUAUCUUAGUAGAAGGUGAUUUGAGGAGUAAUUUUCUUUUAUUAAGUAAUAGAUUUAGUGGGAAGCUAUGAUCAUGAUCAAUUUCCAUGGUCUUAAAUUCUCAAUUUUCUUCAGUUCUUAUGAGGUCAGUUGGUUGAAGCAGUCGAGCAAAAGCUGCAAAAAUGUUUCAGCGGUUCUAAACAACAUAGUCUGUAGGCUUGCUUAUUUGUUUUGACUUGUGAAACCUACAAUUUAUGGUCUUCAUAUGGAGUCAGAAACAUCAGGUGGGGAGCCUGAAAUAUCUGGUCUGAAUUUUGUCUUCUUUCUAAUGAAAUAAACUUCUUUUUGCUCUUAUGAACAAAGUAAAAUGACCCAUGCACAACAUGCAACACAAUGGUGUAUGACCUUUUUCUUUCUUUUGUUUUCUGAUUUAUAACAGUUUCUUAUGACUAGUUCGAGUUAGAGAUCACAUUACUCCAUUUUUCAUGACUUCAAUAAACUAAUUUAUAGACCGUGUAUGUUUGCCUAUGUCAGGAGCUUUCUGAUAAGUCAACUCUAGUGGUCAGCGGUCAUCACGGAAAAAUCCACAUAGAAGGCCUCCGAUACAUCAUUGAUGAAUGUGGUGGGUUGGAGCAGUUGCCAAUUGCUGCAGUAGUGUUUCCUUCAGAGAUGAUUGUCCGAGAUAUCGACCAAAUUGUGGCCGAAUGUUGAGCGUGCACCUUAUGCGUCGUUACAAGCAGUGGUACUUGGGUUUUAUGUUAUCAAAGAACAUUUUCAUGCAAUAACAAGCACCAAACUCAAUCAGGAGCUACAGCCUACGGUACCGUGUCCAGAAGCAUCUUAAUUCACUUCCCAAGACCUGAUUUUAUUUUAGCGAACCUACUUGCAUGAGUUGCAUCGAAGGCCGAGUGUUUGCAACUUUGGAGAUCAAAAGUUCUUAUUUAGCUCUCUAGAUGAUGUUUCUAUUUGACCUAUUCUAGAUGAAUCCAUUAAAUAAUUCUUGUUAUCUUUAAUAGUUUCAUAGUGUUGAGAGUCUAGACGUAAAACUUGAUAAGAUCCACCAUGUAAAAGGCAAUCUUUUGAAUGUGUAAUGUUUGAAUGCAAGGAGUAAAUUUUCGGAAAAGAAAAAAAAAAUUUGGUCAUCGCUCUAACUUUGUCGUCAACGAAAUCUUUUGAUGUAGUCUUUUUUUUUAUGAUUGGAUAAAUCUUUGUUGUAAAUUAUUGAUCGGGAUCUGUUUUUUUUUACUGACUGUAUUAUUAUCAUAUAUUACAUCACGAUUGAAGUAAAUAUUUUUUGCUUUAGUUUGUAAGGGGACGAGUCAACCAUAUCCGGUCUGACUUUUUAGAAACUUGGGCACGUGGGGCAGACCAUUAUACAACGAGCGUGAAGAUAGUGUGUGGUCCAAAGAUCAACAAUACGCAGGUCACUAUCAUUCAUGUUGACAUACGGAAUAAGAUCAGUUUAUGCUGAUUAAUAAAGAGGCUCUAUCCAAAGUCGGUACAGCUACGAUAUAUAAUAGACAUAAGGAUCUCUCGUACGAUAAGCCGACACGAGUGUUGUGGUCUCUAAUUUUUUUCCCCUUAUUUUUCUUAUCAUACGAAGUGAUCUCUGUUUUGAAAGAUCAUUUAUGCAAUUAAACACAUGAGAGAACGCCUUGGCCAGCUGCUUGCUUGCAAGAAAAAGUUUGCAGACAAACCCCAUAAAAUGUGACGCAGAGCAAGACAAAUUGGUUGAAUAUGAGAUGAGUUUGGAUAUGGAAAUGACAAUAUCGUGGAUCCAACCAAUAGCCAUGUCGUUAAGUCAACGACAUUGCAUAAGAUAUGUUAAAAGCAGAUACCUCACGGGAGGAAGGAGAGGGGGGGAUGGCGGAUUAACAGUAGCUGUUGCUAUUAAAUUCGUCGAUCCAAUGUCAAAGCGAAGCUCUCCUUCCGAUUGUUCAAACUUCAAACGCAGUGGCGAGCAAUUGCCCGUAAUAUAGUAUGCAUAAAAGUAGCUGUUGCUAUUAAAUUCGUCGGUUCGAAGUCAAAGCGAAGUUCCUGUGUCGAGCUGCUGCUGGUGGUUCAAAAGCAUUGGCGAGCAAUUGUCCGUAAUAUACUAUACAUAGAAAGGAGAAGACAGCAGCAGAAUCACGACAAAGACGAUGAUGACCCAUACAAAAAAAUAAUAUUUAAUUUUAAGAUGGAUCGCUGCAAAUUUUAAGAACCCAACAGCGACCCGAUCAGAUCGUCACGACAAACAGAUCCAGUCACCUAUGUGGUCAGCUCACCUCCCGGUCUACCCCCACCCGUAUGGCUCGCUUCUGUCGCCCUCCGCCUCAUUUCCUCAAGGAGAAGGAGUUGGAAAGCUCGAGGGAACGAAAAGAGGCGGAGUUGAGAUCCUUGUAGGACCCCGGCGCCAGCCCCUCUACCAUCGAACCGUCCAUGCCUGCCCUCAUCUGCCUCCGCCGACUCCACAAACUGUAGGCCCCGAACAACGCCGCCCCGGCGAAGACCACGCUGCCCACUACUAACAACGCCACCCUCGCUGUCCUCCCCGCACCGCCUCCGCCGCCGCUCGUCCUCACCCUCACCUUGAAGUAACCCUCCCUCCUCAUGUCCCCCUCCACCAGCGUCUGUAUCGGGUAAUCCAACGGAUAGCAGAAGCCCGACGCGUUGUGGUAGAUGGCCCCCCAGCAACUGCAGUUCUGCUCGCAGGAACCCUCGCACUCCUCCAAAGAUGCCACCUUUCGGUACGCCACCAGCUCCUGAUUGGCCAAGUCGACGCCGUUCCGCCUUAGGAUUCGGAACUCAGAGCCUCCAUCCCCGCAGAAAUGGCCGGAGCCCGGCGGGAGGCACCCCUCCUCCGUGCUGUUGUCGAGGCAGCUGCAUCGGGAAUCGGCCGAGUUGCAGAGCCCGUAGGCUCCGCAGACGGCGGGGAGCUCACAGCGGUGGGCGAUGGUUUCGAGGUCGCGGACCCAGAUCGAACCGUUCCAAUAGUACGCUCGGAGGUUACCAUCGGACUCCAGCGUCAGGCGGCGAAGCCCGGAGAUUUCCCGGUUGAAGCUGUCGAAGGGAAACACGUCGACGGGGGCCGCCUCUUUCUGGUACAUCCCCAGAAACCCGUGCGCGUCAACCCGGGCAUAGAUCGGCCCUUCGUCUGGGACGAUCAAGACCUUGACGUCCAAAGCGGAGUGCUUCCAGUACAUCACGGGCGUCGAACCUCCGUCCAAGUCCAUGUAAAGGGCGAAGUAGCUCGCACCCAACCUCAUCGAAAAGCGCUGGUCUUUGGAGAAGAGAGCGGCCGUGGAGGUAAAGUUCUGAUCUUGGACGAGUGUAUCCGACGGAAAGUCAAAGCUUUGCCAGAGCACCGUGGCGGCGGCCCCCGCCAUCUUCUGGAUCUGAAGAUUGGAGGAGUUGAGGAGGACAAGGCGGUCGCCGUCGGCCGUCGCGGUGGACCAAAGCACCCCUGUUCGCGAGUCGGAAAGGACCAGGCUGCCAUCGAAGGAGAGCGAAGCCGAAGCAGACCAGAGGAGAGGACGAGCCGGGUUGGCGCGCCAGAGGGCGGAGGAGGAGGGCAGGUGGAUGACGGCGAGAUCGAGCUGGGAUGAGUCGACCCGGAGGAAGCCGAGGGAGAAGACGCCGGUGGGAUCGGCAAGCAGGGAUUGGAAUUCGGAGUAGGACGAGUCGUGGGUGACAGAGAAGCCUUUGCGGAUCUCCUGUGCUGCGGAGGAAGCGCCGUUUCCGAACCAAGCUGGUCUUGUGACCAGGUAAGACAGGAGGAAGACUAAAGCGUGAAGCUGCUUGUUUGCUGCCAUGGUUGAGCUCCUUCACCCACCUAAGAGAACAAAUGAAGAUUGGACACUGUGAAGAAGAUUACAAGCACUAGUGGUAUCCUGCACAAUAAAAUAUUGGAUACGCAGGCAUAUAUAACGUUAGCUAUAUUGGAUAUAUUGUUCUAAACAUAUUUUUAUUAAAGAUAUUACGAGAUCUUUUUUGUGUUUUUCUUGUCUUUAAAUAAGCAUCUGCUGAUAGAAUAUUUUGAGGGGUGUGAUAAAUUUGACUUGCUGCCUGUCAACUGGUUCUCGCCGCUGCUAUCAGAAAGCGGGAGCUUUUUAGCUCGACAUUCACAAGUCGACUGGUAUCUCCAAAAGCAUAGUUGGUGGCGAUCCCACCACCUCCUUUGUCGCUGACUACGCCCGCAGUUAGCAGCCGCGAGGGAGGACUUGGGAACCAGCAACAUUAAUGGUCAUCAACGAUUCAAGGAAGCAUAUCUCGCUCAAUCUCUUGAAUUCAACUAACUUCUUUCGCGGCAAGGAAGAAACUUAGUUAGCAUAAGUGGAGCUAAUUAUAGUUAGUUAUCUUUUAUGUUUCAAUCUUUAUAUUUUAAAUUUAUUUAUCAUAAUGAUAAUAAUUUUAUCGAUGAAAAUAUGAAAAUAAAAAUAUAAAGAUAAUAUUAAUAUUCGAUGACAAACUUGAAGGUGGUGGAUGGCAGUGCCGACCCCAUCCAUAUGUCGCCACAACCAUCGUCGUAGCUGGUGGAGUCUAUUUCACACGCCCGUCAAUUGGUUGUCAAAUCUCUUGUUACAGCCAGUGGUUCCCAGGCGUGCCACCGUGCUCGACCUCAUAACUGAUGGUGAGGGCCUCAUCGUCGUGAAAGCCCCCGACCAUGACGAGGGCUAACUCAUCGAAAUUGGCUACAUUUGUGGGUGUCGAGGGCUAACGGUCGAUGGGUGCUAGAGUGAACUCCACCAGCUGCGAUGAUAGUUAUGGUGACAAAUGGAGAGCAGUUGGUGUCAAGGAUUUGGAGCACGUGAGCUAGGGGCGGCAUCGUUGUCCACCACCAAACGUUAUGAUGAAGAUGGUGGCCUCCUUGCCACUAACUUGUUAGACGGAUCUCAACCUCGACCCCUCCCUCUUUGCAUUUGCAUUGACAUCGACGUAGUUGUCGAGCAGCGAAAGAACCGCUCAGCAUUUGCAUUAGUGUCAACGCAGAUGCAUAGCGUCAAAAAGGGAAGCUUAGCAAAGGGUAGUAUCAGAACUAAUGUAGCAGGAGCUCCAACGACCCUAGAUUCAAGUUGAGGCUGGGAUCUGCCCAAUGGGUUAAUGACACCACUCGCCUCUACAAGAAGCGUGCCACCAACCUCAUUGCCGCUCAAUAGCUACGUGGACAUCGAUACAGACACAAAGGGGAAGGGGUUAAGGUUGGGAUUCUCUCAACGAGUCAGCGGUGAGGCAGCCACUAUCUUCGCCAUAAUGUUCGGUGGUGGUGGAUGGCAGCACUGCCCCCAACUCAUGUGCUCCAAAUCCCCAAUGUUGGUUGCGCUCCAAAUCCCCAAUGUUGGUUGCGCUCCAUCUAUUACUACAAACGUUGUCACAGUUGAUGGAGUCCGCUCCAACGCUCGUUACCCGUCGACCCUCAACACCCACGAAUGCAACCAAUUUCGAUGAGUUAGCCUCCACUAUGGCCAGAGGUUUUCACAAUGAUGAGGCCCUCACCAUUGACUAUGAGGCCGAGCGCGAUGGCAUGCCCAGGAGUCGAUGGUCGUGGCAGGAGAUUUAGGGGCCAGUUGACGGGCAUCGAUGCGAACUCCACUAAUUGCAACAAUGAAUGGAGAUGGUCGGCACCAGGGAUUUGGAGCACAUAAGCUGCGGAACGUUAAAAUUAUUUUUUUAUCUUUUAUUUUAUGUUGUUGUCAAUAAAAUUGAUAUCAAUAAAUGAAUCUAGAUAUUUCACUUUUAUAAUUAUAAAGAUAUCAAUAUAAUUUUUUUAAACUGUAACGAUAAGACGGCAAAGACAACUAACUACAGAGACAAUAUAUAAUUAACCCAACUAGAGAAAGUUGUAUCUGAUCAAUAUUAAACCAACGAAUUUCCUUGAACAUGAAAUGAUAGAUUCUUUUAACCUUGGUUUCUCGAAGGUCGGGGUAGGAUACCGCCCUCCGCCCGUCCCCGUCUCCUCCUCUGGCGCAUUCAUUCUCGAGCUUCCUUCGAACACAGUUCUCGACGGCCGGAUUGCAAAGCCUCUUCGAGCUGUUCUUGCGAACUAAGAGCUGUUUCAGAAAGCGGAUCUUGUUCUACCACGAGAAGCGCUGCGCAUCGUGGGCCGCACCAAAAAACGCUCCUUUUUCUCCCUGUUUUGGUCUUUUGUGUUUGGUUUUAUCUUGGCAUUUGGAUCACACAGUUCUCUCUCUGGUGGGUCGAAUGUGUACAUAGUUUGCUCUUUUGUCAUCUCCGAUCCCAAUCGUGUAAUUCUCUCUCAAAAUGCCAAAAGAUUAAGCUUUACUUUUUUCCAUGAACAGAGUGGUAGGUUGAUUUCAACGGAGGAACUUGUUUUGUUAUGGAGCCAAACUAAGUCUCUGACUUAUAAUUUUCAAAAAAUAAAAAAAAUUGAUAACUACACACAAUAGAUAUAAUUGUUAUUUUAGAUUUUAGUUGUCGUAGAGGUUUGGAUCCAACUCGGGUCCAACAUUUAAGUCUAUCCUAAUUUUAUUAUAGGAUCGAUACUUGUUAAAAUUAUAUCGGAGACAUACUUGAUGAGAGUAUGUUUGAUACUUAAUUUAAUAAUAUUAAUAAAUUUGAAAUACAGAAAACAUAGAUCGAUAUUUUAGAUACGUCGUAAGCUAAACAACCAAUUUGUAACGAGCUCAAAUAGCCACUAAUAAUUAUUUGACAUGCAUCAUCAUUGGGUUUUUCAUAUGUCACUUAUUACGUUUCAAAUUAUUGUUUCAUUACUACGAUGCUCACGAAACUAUAUGACAUAUUUUUGCAUGAAACUAUUCCUUCAUCAAAACUGUAAAAAGCUUAGCUUGAGAUUGAUUCUAUAACAUCUAAACCAACACAUCAAUCAUCAUCCCUACAAAAUUUAAAAUUAACACAUAAUUUUAAGAAAUUUGUGUGUCUCUGAGAAGGGGCAGCCAAAAUUUAACAUUCUAUAAUCAUUUUUAUAUUAAUUUACUUGAUAGUCUAACAACAAAACAUAAAUCUUAUCAUGUACCAACAUUCUUACAUUAGCAUUCCUUCUAAAUUUUCUUUAGUAAAAGGUCAUAUUAUAGAAUCCUACAUUGUAAAAUGAAGUGUUUGCCGUAUCUCUGUCACACCAACUGGCGGAAGGCCAAGCCGCACUGUCGUGGACUAUGACAUGGGGAUGGUUACCCACUCUCGACUGGCAACCAUUUCAUUUAGUUCCUCUAUCUCUUGAAUUGCUACUGUGAUGCUGUGAGUUCCGUAACGUCGCCCGCGGCUGUAUGAUUGUAUCUUUUUAUCUUCCGACCCAAAUGUACUUAUGCUCUCACCGACCAUUGACGGGCCCCAUCGCAUCAACGGUUAAGAUCAGCUUUCUGAAGGCCAUCAACGGUUUGAGAGAUCCUACACUUGAUUCUCUUAUCGUGAAAUGAACGGCCUUCGUCGCUCCACGUUUGUCUCUCUCAAUGGAUAUUUAGACCAAUGAUCCAAGGGACGCAAACCGUCAACGCUCCCUGCUCUCUGCUCUCUCGCCUUCUUCCAUGUUCUCCUGUCUCCCAUAGACACACCGGCGCGGUGUGGGAGGGAAGAAUCCAUCGCAAGGGAAGACGACUCGAUCGAUAGAGUUGGAGGAGGGCUUGGAGGGAUCGCCUUUUCUCCCCAAAUUUUGGAUUCAAGGAAGAAGACCUUCUUCUCCGGUUCUCGAUUCCGUUAAGACUUGUUUUUGCUUGCGGAAGUCUCUCAUCUUAAGAAACUUCGCGAUAAUCUGUAAUACACAAGAAAGAAGCACUGUUUUUAGCUUACUAUACUCUGUUGUGCAGUCUCCACGAAUCCGGCACUUCUUUGAUCUUAUCCUCCGCUGUGCUUUCAUCACCGAGAUUGGUUUAAACUGAAGGGAAGAGGACAUUUCUGAUCGUUGCAUGGCGGACUCAGACAACGAAUCGGGCGGACAGAGCAACAGCAAAGCAGGGUCGUCGGCGGCAGCCCGGGAGCAGGAACGCUUGCUGCCGAUCGCCAACGUGAGCCGAAUCAUGAAGAAGGCGCUCCCGGCGAACGCCAAGAUCUCCAAGGACGCCAAGGAGACGGUGCAGGAGUGCGUGUCCGAGUUCAUCAGCUUCGUCACCGGCGAGGCCUCCGACAAGUGCCAGCGAGAGAAGCGCAAGACCAUCAACGGCGACGACCUUCUCUGGGCCAUGACCACCCUCGGCUUCGAGGACUACGUCGAGCCCCUCAAGGUCUACCUGCAGAGGUUCCGCGAGAUGGAAGGCGAGAAGGCUGGGGGCGCCACUUCAUCUCAGUCGCAGCACAAGGACGGCAGCGGCGGAGGAAGCGGCGGCAAUGGGGGCGGUGGCAGCAUAUACGGCAGCGGAAUGAUGAUAAGGGGCCAGCAGAUGUACGGCUCGGGGACACCAUCGGCCCUGCAGCCAUAUCAGCAUCGUGGAUGACUGUGGGAGCAAAGAACAGCCUGAGUGGCGGUGGCAAUGGUGGAAGUUCUCCUCCUAAUGGUAUGACGUUUGAUGACAAGGCUCAGUCGAUUACCAGUAUCUCCUUGAUGUAUGAUUGUACUGUUGUAUUGAUCUACGUUGCUCACAGUAAAGUAUAAACCUUUACUGCUCAAUAAUCCAUCGAAGAAGGCAUAGUCGAAGUUGAGGCAACACGGAAUUAUAUUGUUUGAGUUCGUCCAAGUACUGUGUCUAUUGUCUGCCAGUCUGCAGUUCCUUGCUCUAUCAAGAACUACAUUGGUGUAUCAUCUUCUUUAGAGGUCUCUCAAGUUUCUUUACUCUCUAACUCAAGAAUUCUGUAACCUCUGGGGGGGAUACAUAUCCAAUGCUUUGUUGCUCAGCGAUUGUGGCCUUUCCCUGUCAUCAAAUAAAAAGAACUCGCGAAUUCUGAGGGCAAUGGCAACGGUACUUGGUGCUCUCUGGGUGGAAUAUUUCCCAGUGCUGGCAGAUUUCAUGGAACAAAGGCCUAAACUUAACCGAGUAAAACUUUGCCCCUUGCUUUCAAAGUGGCAGAUUUCAUGCACACAUCGGAUUCCCACCGGCACGCAAUCGGGGAAAUAAUAUGAUGCAGUUGGAAAAAGAAUUUAGUUCAAAGAAUUAGAUGAAGUGUUAACCUUUGCUGCCUCUCAUAAUCUAUCCUUCUUCCUCGUCAUCGUCCCCUGUGGAUAAGAAUCUAGCGGUAAACUUGGAACAAGUGGGCACCAUUUGGUUAAAGCAGUUGAUCGCUUGCGAGGGACUUCCCGGCGGUUUGAAUUAUCCAAACACAUACUUUCAGUCUUCAAUGUUUGUAAGUUCGUUAGCUCAAUAAUAUGCAGGCAGAAUCCUCUGUUUUAUGAUCUAUCUAUCUAUCUAUCUAUCGUAAAAUGAAGAAUGAUUCCGUGCAGAUGAUUGAUGAUAUAUUGCACGUAUAUGAACAAAGUCUCGAUCAAGGUUCCAAUCUUAUUCAAGGCAAAUUGAAGAUAGGAUAUAUCCAGCUCACAUGCCUCUUAUUGAAGGUUCAAUCUUCCUAGCUUCCAUGCCAAAAACUUGCCUGGAUGAAUGCUCGGGUAUAAUAUUGUCCACGAAGCAGAGCAAAUGCCUCGCUUUCUCAUUAAUAUCGAGCAACAUGGCAGCGACAUCAGACCGGCGCACGGCCCAUCAUGUUCCCCACCAAAUCUACCCCACAGGCAACUUGAACAUAUUACUGCAGAAGGUGUAGGGUUCUUGAUCUGAGCACAACGUAUCAGUCUCAUUCUUUUUAGUACGUAGCUGCAGAUGUGAAGGAAUUCACCUCUGCUGGCUUCUCCAAAGCCUUAAAUCCCAUACUGACUCCACAUAAACCCACUGUUGAGAUACCACUAAUAUUAAUUAUUUUAUUUCUUUUGAUUAUCGUAUCUGAAGAACGUCUUUUCUCUUUAGUAUAUUAUUAUAGUAUCUUAAAUAAUUUUAUCUUCUAUUAUCAAAGUAAUAGGAAGUUGUUGAGGAAUAAAAAUAUUUUCUUUUCUAAUAACUUUAUUAUAUGUUGAAUUACUAGUCUGAUCCUUCGUAUUUGGAUUAACUUUACUGGAGUGCCAAUUUGAUAGGUUAUUUUCGGAUGAUCUCUUUAACUACUCAUAGUUUAUAAUCAAAGGUGACUUUUGAUGGCUGAUGUGCCCUUAACCCACUCUGCUCUCCGAUUCAAAAUAUGUAUCUAUCAAUCAAUCCAAUUAAUAAUUUAAAUGGGGUGGCCAACAAUUAACUAAUCCGGUGUUGCCCAACUUAUAUAAUGUUUCAUCCGUAAAUAAAGCCUUUCAGCCGUCGCCCAAGGAAGUAUUACGCCUUCGGCUACGCGACUCCACAUUUUCAUUCGUAUCUCCCUCUCCCAAGGGAGGCCGCCCGCAGAUGCAUAGUAGUUAGCUUCAUCUCCAGCUUCUUCCAAUGGCAUGGAGGCGAAGGAAGCUCUAAAUCUAUGUUCUCCAUCCCUCAUGCUCUUCCCUAAAUUUAAACUACUCAUCUCGACGACAACCCUAGCCGCCACCGCCGCUGAGGUACGCCCCUUCCAUCAUCUCCUCCCUUCCAUCAAAGCCUACUACUCCUCCUCCUCGUCUUCCCCCGUUGAUAUUCCCCCUUUCGACGCCCUCGUCUCCGGUAUCCUCGACUCUGAUCCCGCCGCCUUCACCCGUGGCUUUCGUGCUCCGGACUCCAUCAAGCCUCUCCUCUCCGAGCCUCACCUAUUCCUCGCUGCCCUGCGCUCAGUCCGACGCCGCCCUCGCCUCGCCCUCCGCUUCUUCCGCUGGGCCGAGAGCCAGCCCGGCUUCCCCUGCUCGGAGGCCGCCUUCUGCGCCGUCCUCCAGAUACUCGCUGAGGGCGGCCUCAUGCGUGCCGCCUACUCCGUCGCCCAGCGUGUGCUUCACCUCCGUCUCCACGGCAUCGUUGACCUCCUUAUCGACGGACACGCUGGUCCCGAGGCCACGGCCCCCCUCCUGGAUCUGCUUCUCUGGCUGUACACCAAGUGUUCGAUGGUGGAGCUCGCCGUGUCCACCUUCUAUAAGAUGGUAGCCCACGGGUUCCUGCCGGACGUCAAGAACUGCAACAGGAUUCUGAGGAUCUUGAGGGACACGGCCCAGUGGACGGAGGUGCGCGCCAUCUACAAACAUAUGAUUAAAGUCGGCGUCCAGCCUACCAUUGUAACUUUCAAUACGAUGCUCGAUUCCUUUUGCAAGGAAGGAAAGGCGGAAGAGGCUCUCAAGAUUUUGGGCGAGAUGGAAGAUCAGGACGCUGGGUGCUUACCCAAUGAUAUUACCUAUAAUGUCAUCAUCAACGGCCUGUCAAAGAAGGGGGAAUUGGACAAGGCAGAGAAGUUGCUUGACAAAAUGAGGUGCUCCCGAAAGGCCUCAUCUUUUACUUACAAUCCUUUGAUUAGUGGGUUAUUCAGCAAAGGUUUUGUCGACGAGGCACUGGGUUUCAGGGAUGAGAUGGUGGGGUUCGGAGUGAUGCCAACAGUGGUGACUUACAAUGCUUUAAUCUAUGGGUUGUGUAGGAGUGGACGGAUGGAAGAGGCCCAGGAGAAGUUUGUCGAAAUGGGUAAGAUGAAUCUGGCACAAGAUGUAGUAUCUUACAACUCUUUAAUUUAUGGGUAUUGCAGAUUAGGGAAUGUAAAAGAGGCUCUAUGCUUGUUUAAUCAUCUGAGAGAUGCACAUAUAGCUCCUAAUAUUAGAACUUACAACAUUCUUAUAGAUGGUCAUUGUAGAUUGGGAGCCCUGGAUGGGGCUCAGAAGUUUAAGGAGGAGAUGAUUUGUUCGGGGUUUCUGCCCGAUGUUUAUACGUAUACCAUUCUGGUAAAUGGGUCUUGCAAGAUGGGAAAUCUUGCCAUGGCAAAAGGAUUUUUUGAUGAGAUGUUACAAAAAGGUCUCGAGCCAGAUUGCCAUGUGUACACAACAAGAAUAGUUGGAGAAUUGAAGUUAGGGGAUACUUCUAAGGCUUUUCAAUUGCGGGAAGAGAUGAAAGCAAAAGGCAUCACUCCUAAUAUAGUUACCUACAAUGUUCUGAUAGAUGGGCUAUGCAAGAUGGGAAAUCUGAAAGAGGCAUAUGGUUUGUGGCAAAAGAUGGUACAUGAUGGAUUUCAUCCAAAUUGUGUAACCUAUACUUGCUUAAUUAAUGCACAUUGCGAGAAGGGUCAUAUGAGAGAAGCAAAAUAUCUGUUUGAUAGCAUGCUUAGUAAUAAUUUAUCGCCGACAGUCGUCACCUACACUGUUCUCAUUCAUGCACAUGCAAAUAAAGGAAAUUUGGAGGCUGCAUAUGGCUACUUCUCCAAGAUGCUGGAGGAGAAUGUCUUGCCUAACGAAAUAACUUAUAAUGCCCUCAUAAAUGGGCUCUGUAGAAAGCACAAGGUUGAAUUGGCUUAUGAGCUCUUUGACAAGAUGCAAGGAAAUGGUUUGUCCCCAAAUAAGUAUACAUAUACUUUACUCAUAAAUGAAAAUUGCAAUUUGGGUAACUGGAAAGAAGCACUGAGGUUGUAUGCUGAAAUGCAUGAGAAAGAAAUUAUUCCUGAUUUUUGCACUCAGAAUGUUUUGUUUAAAGGUUUUGGUGAAGACUUCAAGCAUCAUGCAGUGAAAUUUUUAGAAACUGAUGUUCUUUGCAGUUAAUUGAUGAUUCAAAUGCCAUAGUUAUACAUGGUCAGGGGCAGACAAAUAAGAAUUUGUGUGUUGACAUUUGUAUCACAAUUGUAUUUUUUUUCCUCUGGCAGCAGUGAUAGCAGAUAUUCAGCAUGUCUGAUGAUACGUCCACAGGCAUGUAGCUGUCCAAGUGUCCAGAGUGACUUCCAAAGACAGCAAAUAAUCUAGCACUGGCAAACUCCAGUCCUUUGCUGUGUUAAGUCAGUCAUGAUGAUGUAUUCCAUUAAAGCAUGAUGCUAAUCUGUAUGACUGAUGGUUCAUUCACAUAAAGGAGGCCACACCCAGUAAACAACCAGACAAUUUGCAGUGUUGGUGGACUUGAGUCUAAAAUAUGCAGUUUUUUCUUUUAAAUUUGUAUGAGAUGAAUAAUCAUUUUUUUAUCCUCUCAAGGGAUGAUAUCACAAAGUUGCAGCAGGUAAGGUGACAUGAUAAAUUUGUAAAUUCAUACUAUUCUUUGUAACACAAUAGUACAUCAAGCUUUGGUCUUUCAUUUGUCUCCAUAUACAGCAAUUAUUUAAUCACCACAUCUAUUUUAACGGCUGUCAUUGGAUAAUUAAACCAAAACAGUACUGUUGGGCUAAAGUUAUUCUAUUGUUAAAAGUUUUUCUCUCAUUGUGUUCCAGCUGCCUGAUUUGUGGUUUUGACCUAGUAAAAUUGAGGUAAAAUUUUUGUUCUAAAUGAUUUAUAUAAUUUUUUAUGGCAUCAAAUAUUGUUUAUUUUGCCUCCUAUCAUUCAUGUUGAUGUAAGCUGAUGGAUGGCUUUUGUAAUUUCAAUGAUGAGAUUGCAGGUGUAUGUAAAGCUGCAAACAAGGACACAAAAAAGAAGGAUAUAAACAUCUGGAGUCACAAGAUACAGAAGUUACUUAGGGAGAUGCCCUUGGUUGAUGAGGUUAGUUCUCAUUGUUAGGCUUGUCGGCUUCCUUUUAUUUGAAGGUUGAUGCACAAACUGAACUGUAAAACAAACAAACAAACUGAACUUCAUUGCUUCAUCGAAUACAGUAUAUGCCAAGUAUCAUGACAUGAACUGAUUAAGUGCACAUUGAAUUGAAACUAUUAUGAAUCCAUAUUAUCAUAAUCAUGGCAUUUUGGUCAAACAGUGUAAUCUGGAAAUUGCUUAUUUGUUGCUAUAAAUCUAGUGUGUAGACUAGCUGAUAGUUUUUUACUUUCUGGUUGUUCUAUAUAUACACUUCCUGAAACCCAAGUUCUGAAAUCCUAGCUUCUAGAUCAUGGAGUACGCACAAAAGAAGAACCAGAUAGAUGCAAAGCAGAUGUCGGGCAAUAAAUAUUUACUCAUUCGUGGAUCCAUUUCAUCUAUGCUUCGUUGGCAGUCCUAAUUUUCUAUCAUGAUGAAGGGAUGUAUCAUGACUUUGCCAUAGGUUUUUAAAUGUGAAUUCUUCAAAUUAAUCUGCAUUACUCUGUAUCUUUGUGCUUUUUAGCACUGAAUUAAAACGUGUAACUAUAAUAUGAGUUUUUAUUUUGUAAGCUUGGUUAUUCGAAGACAAUCUUGGUGGACUUUUGUUUAUUUUAACUUACAACCAUGAAAGCAAAAGUAAAAAAAGACUAUGCAAGAAUUGCUUGCAUCUAAUAAUGAAAGGAGUUGGUGUCGGUGUACUGUACUUUUGAUGGUGAAGUAUGUUGCUUCACCACUCAAUUGCCGAUUGUCAGUUAAAUUUUCUGUUAGUGACAGGUAUUAAAAUUUAAUAAUGUUUACAUGGAGUAAUUAAUAAUGGGAAAAUUUUGUGUGUAUGGUUUCAUGUCUCUCCGAUCCUUUUUAUGGGUUGUUUUCCUCGAGGGUGUAUAAUAUUUUGAGUAUUCAAAGGGCUCCUUUUUUGUCUCUCGAUGGAGAAAAUAUUUGAAAUGGAAUUUUAUUACUUGGUGUACAGUAGGAUUAUUGGAUAUGGGUGUUUUAUCAGGAAAAAGUCCCUUAAGAUGCUCAACAGUUGGAUGGGUUCUGCAGUAUAUAUGAAAUGAGAAUUUUAAUGCGUUAAGGUGCAUACUGCAUCUAAAGAGAAUUGAGCACACAUCUUAUCCAUCUGUGACUGGAUAUAUGAAGAUUUCAGUUAAUCAGAAGCACAAAUUUAUAGAUCAGCCAAAUAUAUGUUUUCUGUAGUAUUCUUAAUUAGUUUCAUCGAAAGUUGAUAAGAUUAAAAUUAACUUAUAAGGAUCUGAUUUGUAUUAUUAUUAAUUUCAACUGAAGCAUUUUAGUUAGUGGUAUACGCUAACAACUGUAUAGGCUAACGAAGUUGUGAAGAAAUAAAUAUCCAUUCUCACAUAUUCAUCAUCUAAUUUUAAUGAGGAGAUUACUCUUAACGACAGACUAUAAUUUCAGCUCAUUUUUCCAGCAAGUAAGCGAACCGUAGAUAAUGAUGAACGGAAAAAAUAGAUAUUAAAUUUUAAACAUUUGUGAAUAUAUUUCAGCUCAUUUGUGAAAAAAUAUAUUUUCUAGCAGUUCUUUAACAUUCAAGUAUCACACACUGAUAAAGUUUAAAAAAAAUCUAAAUAUAUUUUUUCGCUUUAAGUAUUUAUCCUUGUUAUUAUACAUAUAAACAUAGUAUCAGUGGAUGUUGGGAUAGUUUAGUUAUAAUCAAUAAUAUAGAUUAGGGUUCUAUAACUAUUUAGAGACCUGCUGAUGAAUCCACAACCAUAGUUUGACUAGCCCCAUGAGAAUUUUUAUAGUUAAAUCAAAUUUGGGUUAGUAGCAUUAAACCCACCCAACAUUGGACUGUCAACUUGUCCUUAUAAUAGUAUUUUUCAAUUUGUUUUCCCCUUUUCACCAUAUUAAUCCUUUUUCUUGGGAAGACUCUUCCUCUCCUUACCUUUGUAAAGGCUACAGAUUCAUGAGGGUACAAAAGCUUCAACCAUUUAUAGAUACAAUAUACAUGUUUCCUAACCAAGCACCAGAGAUAAGUCAAAACAUGUUUGCCAAUACUGUUUCAACCAACCAAAAACAAAAUAGAAGAGCAAAUACAUCCACCAACAUGCAUGCAUGGAUCUCUCAUUUGUGAUACUAACGCAGACCCUUUCUUUCCUACAUCCAUCACGGCGUCUGAGGUUUCUUGGGGCUUCCGUUAUGGUGUAACGGGUCCGGUCCCGAAGGGACCCUCAUCAACUCCGGCUCCAGUAGUUCCGCAGCCAACCCUAUCUCCGGCGGCCGCCUGUAUCCCUGCUUGAGUUCCUCCUUCCACGCCCCGUGCACCUGUGUACAUGGCAAAAGCGGAAGAAACAAGACGUGAGAUAUAAUUAAUAGGAAAACCUACUCCUAACGAAGCAAAAUUUUUAGCAGACUUAACGAAUUGUUUCAAGAGAUCAACCUUUCUUCCAUUCUCAGGUGGAGCAGUCUCCGGAUUCCAACAGCUGCCAAGCUCGAUUUGGCAACCUGCAUAAUGAAUGAACAUUGAGUCAAAGCACGUAUAUACUAGAAAGGGUUAAAGGGACGAACCUAAACGCCCAUCCGCCACAAAGACGGCCAAGAUCAACAGAAAGCACCAAAAUAAUAGACCAAACAGACCCAUUAUCUCCUUCGUGACAGUCUUAACUGGUGGCUGAUGCAGUUUCUCUUUGGUCCGCGGCUGCUGUAUUUAUAGCAUGGAAAGUAGAGCACCUCAACCUGAGGUUUUUAUAAACUAAGCUCGGCCUUCGCUCUCCUCUCAGACAGGAAGAUCUGUCGGAGAUCCAAUUCAUCGCAGAGGUUUUAAGACAAGAUGGAUUGCAGUUGGAUCACCGGCGGCGCAACAGAAUCAUAUAUGAUGCAUGUACGCACGCUGUGCCUGACAAAGCUCAACCUUCUCUCCUCCCGCCUACUUCAUCUGGCACGUGCCGACACGACUCUCUCCCAGUAUCUUCGCCUCCGUUCGUGUCCCUCUCCCUUCCCCUCCUGACGUCAUCCGGAUCUCGUCGCCAUAAUUGACAUUAGCCUCCAUUCCGAAAUGCUUUUUUACGUGCCAUUUCUCGUUUCUUUUAUUGUUAUUCUUACUUUAAAUAUAAAAUCAGUUUAAUUUUUGACCCUGCACACAUACACAUAGAAUGCAUGAAACAACAGUGUGACAUUAAGAUGCGACGACAGGAACGGAAACAAAAAUCAAAAGUUAACGUAAGCGCGAGAGGCCAUUUUGAUCACCAUCUCCUCGGCUGAUUCGAUUCUUUUCGAAGAUACAGACGAUGGUGGUCAAUUGUGUCAGAAUAAAGUGUUCAUCUCACGGUCCUCGGCACGGCCGGACGAGUUAGAGAUGGCCGCCAUUAGCGAGGUAUUCGUGGCGUCGUACUACUAGAACCCUAGCACAAAAAAGAGGGCCAUGGAGUACUAAGCUGCUUAUCAUUUAGCCCGUUUCGGAUCAGACGGCUCUCGUGAUAUGGACCCACUGUAUCAUCCUACCGUCCACGAUGCUUCUAUUGCUUUUGUAGGAUUAGGUUGCUUACUGCACGAGUCUGUGUCGCUGCAUGCAGCGACUACGUACUAUCCUGUCAGCUUUGACAGGUGUAUUGUGCUGGAUGUGUGGUCGUAGGUGUCUUCAAAUCGGUUCAUUGUUACGAUUAAAUCGAAUCGAAUCAGUUUUCGAUUUGAUUUAAUUUAAUUAAAAUAAGUUUAAAUUAGAAUCUGAUUCGUUUAAUCGAUUAAUUGAUAUAUAUAUAUAUAUAUAUAUAUAUAUAUAUAUAUAUAUAUAUAUAUAUAUAUAUAUAACCAAAAAAGACAAAUAUUUCUUUCUUUCUCAUAGACCAUACGCACAUCAUUCACUCGUUCCGUUGCAACCAGGAGGAGAAGAACCUUAAUAUAGCAUUGAACGAGAACGGUUUACAAUCUAACCCCCUUAGUGCAGGCGAGACCACGAAUUUUAUGGCUGGCUAGCUGCAUGUAUUUUGCUAAGAACCGGUAGUUAAAAUAGCUAAAUAAAGUCAACAUUAUUGUAACAAUUGCCAAGAAAAGCUCUUUUGUCCACAUCGUGUAGGUUAGGACGACGUCAAGAAACUUUCUUUAUCCAUUAAUUCUCCCCUUAUAUAAGUACACACGCCCUCUCCGUCCUCUCAACGGCAGAUCGCCAGCUACUUUGGGGAGCUCCGGCCCCAAAGAAUCUUCAUAGGUUUCCUCCUUUCACUACGUCCACAAGCCAAAGUUCAUGCACACUCUUGUCUAAGAUUAGCAAAACAAACGAGGAUCGUAAGAGAUGUCGAAUAAGGCCGUCUUGGGUGCUCUCUCAGCGGUCCUCCUUGUGGCCGCGGUGAUAGGUACGGUAGCCACCGUCGCAAGCUCCAACCAUAAGGCGGCGAGUGAUGAUUCCCUUGCCGCCUCCUCCAAGUCCGUGACGGCCAUCUGCGCCUCCACUGACUACACUGACGUGUGCGAACGGACCCUCAGUUCUGCCAUCAAUGGCUCUGCCUCUCCCAAGGAGAUCAUCCAAGCAUCCUUCAUGGCAGCCAUCAAAGAAAUCGAAGCUGCCUCCCACCUGUCCAAGAACGUGAGUUUGAGCGCCACUGACUCGAUGAACAAGGAUGGGUUCGACAUUUGUCGUCGACUCUUCGAGGAUGCUAAUGAGGAGCUACAAGCUGCCUUCUCGGAGACUCAUGACCUUGACGGUUUGGCGAGAAGGACCGAUGACAUCAAGUGCUGGCUUUCAGCCGUCAUCUCCUACCAGCAGACCUGCCUCGAUAGCAUCACUCAACCCGACCUACACUCGACCAUGAAGGACGGGCUUGUCACGGCCUCUCAGGUCACCAGCAAUGCCAUUGCCAUCGUCGAUGGGCUCAGUUCAUUAUUCAAGAACUUCCAAGUUCCCAUCAACGUGACCAAUAUCGCCAGCCGCCGGCUACUGUCUCAGGGGAGCGAUGCCAAGGGUUAUCCCACGUGGUUCUCGGCCCAUGACAGGAAGCUCUUGGCUGCCAGUGCGAGAGGUGAGUUGAAGCCUAACAUGGUGGUGGCUCAGGAUGGGAGUGGAGACUAUAAGACUAUCAACGCUGCCCUCAAUGCCAUGCCCAAGAAGUAUACAGGCCGCUAUGUGAUCUACGUCAAGGCCGGGAUCUACAAGGAGAAUGUCCUCGUCACCAAGGACAAGGUGAACGUGUUCAUGUAUGGUGAUGGACCAAGGAAGACAGUCGUGACUGGCAGCAAGAACAACGUCGAUGGCGUUCAAACCAUGAAUACUGCGACCUUCGGUCUGACCUUCUUUGCUUUCAUAAAUCCUAUAUUAUGCUACGUUUCACAUCUACUCACUUACCAUCUGACAUAUCAGUUGUGACCUAAGUUAGAUAUAGCAAACAUAUUACUGCAAUCAAUCUAUAUAACACUUACUACACCAAACUAAAUCUUGAUAGUAGAGACAAUGAAAUAUUGAGAGUGAAGCAAAACAUAUGCAUGUCUGAUCUAAAGUUUUAUGCAAUUGGCAUUUUCCAGCUGCCGAAGGGCAGGGCUUUAUUGGAAAGUCAAUGGGGUUCAGCAACACCGCUGGACCAGAGAAGCACCAAGCCGUGGCGCUUCGUGUGAAAGGGGACAUGUCAGCCUUCUUCAACUGUCGUAUGGAUGCGUUCCAGGACACUCUCUACGUGCAGGCCCAUCGGCAGUUCUACCGCAACUGUGUGGUAUCGGGGACUGUUGACUUCAUCUUCGGUGACUCCUCCACCAUUCUUCAAAACUGCCUCAUCGUGGUGCGGCGCCCCAUGGACAAUCAACAGAACACGGUGACAGCACACGGACGAGAGGAGGAGAAGGAAGAGACCGCACUUGUGAUCCAAAACUGCCGAAUCGUCCCCGACAAGCGCUUGUUCCCGGACAGGUUGAAGAUCCCCAGCUACCUUGGUCGGCCUUGGAAGGCACGCUCGAGGACCAUCAUCAUGGAAUCCACCAUCGGCGACUUGAUCAAACCGGAGGGAUGGUUGCCAUGGGAUGGCGACCAGUUUUUGAACACACUAUAUUAUGCCGAGUAUGGCAACCGUGGGCCCGGUGCCGGGACCAGCGGCAGGGUGAAUUGGCCUGGGUUUCAUGUCAUCAACAGGCAGACGGCCCAAGCGUACACAGUGAAUUCCCUAAUCCAAGGUCACCGGUGGAUCAAGUAUUCGGGCAUACCCUAUCUUGGUGGGUUUAAAAAUUGAUGUAAUUCCUAUCUCGUGUGCGUACACCCAAUAUUGAGAUAUAAGAUGUAAGAGAAGUGUGGAGAUGAUGAUGAAAAUAAUAAAGCGAAAGACGGAGAUUGAGAGACGCGAUGUUACUAUGAAAGAUUUCUUCCUUAAUUUCAUUAUUGAUACACUCUCUCAAUUAAAUAUUUCGUUGCGUUGGUGUUUUGAGGAUCAACAAAUUUUUUUGAUAAAUCUGUUGCGAUAGCUCUUACCAUUCAAUUAGUUAUAUUAUCGACUAAUUUUUUCAAUAUGUUCAUCAAUAUCGGAUUGAUGUUUAAUUCUUUAGCUUGAUAUCUUAUUCUCAGACUUAUUAAACACAUUUAAUCAGAUAUUAAUUUUUAAAUUUCAUCAAUUGAUUUUAUUCAUUAAAAUACCAUACUCAACAUGGAAAAUUGUACUAUGUGUUCCUUUCUAUUUCUUGCUUACUUGCUCCUAAUUACUUUGAAUACUUGCUUCCUUUGUUAAAUUUUUUAAGGAUGGUCAAAUUUGCACCAUAACACUAAUUCAAUUUUUUAUGUCUGUAAGAUCCUAUCAAUUUUUUUAUGAACCGAGGAGCAUCUCAACUAUAAGAUCUAUUCCUCAGUCUCGUAUAUAUAAAAAGUAUAAUCAUGAAAGUGGAUAGACUUGAAGAAAGAGAUUUUAUGAGUAAAUGUAAGUUCAAAGUGCUAUUAUGGAUUGUACCUCUCUUCUCUUAUGUUUUUUGCUUAUUUAUAUAUUUACUUAACCUUAUUUUAUUAUUACUCUCACGUUCUUACAAAGUUUAGAAAAAUAUUUUUCAAUAUACUUGUACUAAAUCAAGAUUCUCUCAAUUAACUGAAUAUCUAAAAAUAAUUAAUAGUAUGUCAUGUAAUAUAUGUUCACUCAUGUUUAAUGAGACGAAUUUCAAAAACUAAUUAAACACAUAUAUGCAUGAAAUAAUUUUUAAAAAAUUAUGAAUGUUUUAUUUUAUUUUUUAGAAAGAAAUGAGUUUAAAAUGAAAUCAAACGAGUCCAUUCACAAAAGCUUAUGAAUGUUAAUAAUAUAUUAGAAUUAGUUGUGAAAGUUUAUCUAAUAUUGAAUUAGUGCAUAAAGUUCUUAACUCACUUCUAAAUAAUUGGGAUAAAUGGGUGUUGUUGCCUUGAUAUCGUUGAUCGAGAAACGGCACGACUUGAUUUUGUCCCAAAGAUGCAAGUUUAUCCGAAUGGCCCACGUGACGAUUGUGUGGGGGGACCCAAGCUAGGGAAGAUCAGGUUGAAGCGAUCCCGAGGUACUACUUGUAUGUCCAAGGUGGAUCCCAAGUUGAGACCAGGUAGUCCGGACCUCCUCGAAGUUUUGGAGAUGAGUCGAGGUAUGCCUUAUCUCCGUUGGAAAUUCUUCAUAAGCAAUCAGGUUUUAGGGGAGUACCUGACUUGACCCCUAUGAUGGUAAAGUCAAUAUGAGUGGGAGUAUGAAUAAUAUAAAUCUUGUGUCUAGUCCCCUCUUUUGUCCUUAGGGAUUGACAUUCAUAUUUGGGCAACCGAUGGAGAGAGACUGAUGUCUGAUAAGGACGGGCCCAUACACCCUCCUAGGGCUCAUUUACUCGAAUGGCAAGAUGGUACGAUCUCCUGUGACGUGUCAUUAGUGAAGAACAACUACGGGGGCAUUACUUGUCAAUGCUAGCAAUCGCUUGGGACAUGCGGAAGGCAAUCGACUACAUCAGCCAAUCGAGAAAGGAGCAUACAAGCCUUGAUGCCAUGGAGUUAUUGCUCCUGGCGACUAGCCUAUACCCCAAAAUCGUGGCAUGACAAGGUAGAGGGUUGCUGCCAAUGGCUCGAUCAUGGCAGGCAGAGGGCUUCACCAUAGCGAGCCAAGUGCUCCCUCAUAACAUGAGUCAAGGGCUAUACUAGCCAAAGCAGCACAUAUAUCUCAAAGCAGUAUAAAAUGACAUAAACCAUAGGGUCGAGAGGAUGGCUCCAGAAUAGACAAACCACCCACUAGAAAUAUCAAUAAAUACCAACAAGCAUAGGAGGAGCCAACUCCCUACAAAAGGUAUAAAAAUCACCCCUAGGUAGAUGCUAGGGGAUGGGAUUCACUAUCCACAAAGACUGAAUUAAGCUUCAGAUGGAUCAAGUUAGAACUCCCAUCUUCGACAUUGACCUGUUGUGUAAGCACUCAGGAACAGAAGCCCCUUGCAAAUCCACCAUAAAACACCCUAGAAGAUGGGUGACCAUAAUUCUUCAUCCCUUCUCCGUGAAGCCUUUCUUCUAAGUAAUCACACGGAUGACCUUACACUAUCAGGAUCGAACCAAGCUGUGCCCCUUCCCAAGCCAUGACAUAAAAAACUAUAAUAUUUUUGGUGCUAGAAGAAGGGCUCGAUAUCGCAAGAACGUCCACUAGUAAACAACCUCAAUGAGCACCCUUUGGAGGUGCCUGCUACCCAUUCUACCUUUUUGCCUCAAAGGCCAAUCAUUUGCUCCUCUGCAGAUCAAUGGGAACACCACCACCCAGAUCUCUACGGGCUAUUGGUGUUCAUUCAAUGACCCUGGGCUCUUACCUCUUGGGAUUGACAUAAGAUAAAUGGUGGUUCUCGCAGAGACAUUCCUUACCCUCACGUAUCGGUGUAGGCAUUGGUAGGGAUUAUGCAGAUUAUCUCACCCUAUAUACCACAACUCAUUUAAGAAGUUGCCCCUCCCUUAUCCUCAUCACUUGUAUCUCAACUAGCCUUUGCUCUCCCGAGGCACGACACUUCUCCAGUUGGCCCAUCGCCUAUGGCUCCUGACAUUGAUCAUCCAAUCGAGGAACAACCAGGAAACCUAAGACCAACAUCAAGGCAUGACACUCGACAUACCAUUCCUGCCUUUCCCAAAGCAGAUACAAUGCCAUUUGACUUAGUGGAGGACUCAUUGUAGGCUCAAGUGUGGAGGAUGAACCGACACCUAGAUGAGGUCCAGAAGGAAGUAUAUAAAACCUACUAGGAUUAUGGGGACGGUAUGAUAAGAGGGUCCCCCUUCACCCAAGAAAUUCAAGACAAACCUAUCUUGCUCCACUUCUGCCUCUUGACACUGGAGGCCUAUAAUGGUGGUGUUGAUCCGACAGAAUAUGUCAUUGCCUUCCGACAGAAUAUGUCAUUACCUUGGAUGUUUUUCCACUAUGGCUUAUGCAUAGGCUUUUCUUCCGACUAUGUUGUCACCACCAAAUGUUGGUUUGCCAAUAAUCACAUCAAUCUGUUUCUCGAUGGGGCCAUGAGGGUGAGGAGAGGGCUCUUAGUCCUUUGAAGGUAUCGCUCGAGGUGUCCUCUAUGGAUAAGGUCCUUGAUUUAGUAUUUCAGAUCUCGAUAUUCUUUGGUGUCAUGGCCAUAGUCUCGAUGGUACCUGCAAUAUCUUAUUUUAUCUUUGAACUCAAACGAGGUCUUCAAUGGUCUGGGCUCCCUUAAGAGCCCCUUUUCCUUGAUUUGGAGAAAGAUUUAUAUUCUUGAUGAAUUGAGAGGUGGUGGUGGUGGCGGCCUUGGGAGUGGAGGCUCCGGCCUGUUGAAUUUCUUCUUGGAUAGUCCUAGGGAUGAAUCUCAGGGCUAUUCUGUACAGGGCCUUUUAUUUGUCUCCUCGCGCCUCACUGCCAACAAUGUUUCGGUGGUAAUGAACUAAUGAGCCCUCUGGAACAUCUCAAAGACUGUCACUGGGGCAUUCGACUAAUGACUAAAAGAAUCUUGUGGGUAAGUCUAAAUAUGCAUGGAAUUGCUUAAUAAGUGAGCAUAUAAGUAGUUCUCAUGCGAUUUGAGAGGCUUUGUAUUGUCGGGGCCAACUGUCUAUUACAUAAGAAAAGUAAGUCCUCCCUGAAAGAAGGGAAAGCACUAUAAUUUUUGGAGAAUCCGGCUAGCCAAUAGAAAGCUAGUAGGGGCUUUAAGCGAGCAUUUCGUAGAGAGAGAGAGAGAGAGAGAGAGAGAGAGAGAGAGAGAGACUCAUUCUCCUUCUACCUUAGCUUGAGGAGUGUCACUAUAGAUGGCUUGGGUCGUACAUUGACCAAGAAGUGUAACUCGAAUUCCUUAGCGAGUUGGUCAAAAGAUGUGAUUGAAAAUAGCUGUAGCCGAUUGUACUACACCCGACCCGGUCCUCCAAGGGUGGUGGGAAACGCUCGGCACAUUAGAGUGUUGGAUAACUCGGCACAUUAAAGGGAUGACUCGGAAGUCACUUUUGAAAUCACUAAAGCUCGUGUAAAGAGAAUUAUGGUGGAUACAGGAAGUUUCGUUAAUAUCUUAUACUUUGACGCUUUCCAAAAGCUCAGUUUAGUAGAGAAGGACCUCACCCCGAUGACCUUGGCUCUUACUAUGUUCACAAGGGAUUCCAUCUCUCCCGUUGGGACCACAACCUUGCCCAUCACCAUCGGCGAGGAACCAAGAUCCAAGACUAUGAUGAUCACAUUUAUGGUGGACAACCUUCCUUUAGCAUAAUGGACCCUCGAGAUAUGGCAAAUGCACCACCUCACCCUAAACUAAUGGAGCGAGUGCUAGAGGUCCCCCUUGAUAAAAGUCAAUCGGACAUAGUCAUAAAAUUUGGGUCUGCUCUUUUGAAAAAGGACUAGGUUCAACUUAUUGAUUUCGUUGUAAAAAAUGCCGAUGUAUUUGCUUGGUCCCCAAAGGACAUGUCAGGAAUCGACCCAAGGGUCACACAACAUCAAUUGAAUAUUCUUCUUGAAGCACGAUCCGUGAAGCAAAAGUUGCAAAAGUUCUCUCUCGAUUGGAAAUAAGCCAUAAGUAAUGAGGUAGACCAGCUACUAAAAGCAGGAUAUACAAUAGAGGUAAAGUACCCUCAAUGAUUGUCCAAUGUAGUAUUGGUCAAGAAAUCUAUUGGGAAACUUAGGGCAGCAUUAUAUGCAUAGUGGAAGAAUAGAAAACAAAAUCUCAAAGUUUUCGUAGAAAAAGUUUUUCAUCGUCAUGCAAAGAUUAGUGCGCAAAAACCUGUAAAACUAAAAAUUGCACAUAUGUGAAAGAUGUAUUACCUGAGGAGAUCAUAUAUCCCUGAAAACAUAUAUAUUUGUGUGAGAGGAUGAAUGAGAUCAACUAUCCUCCUAUCUAGCGGUGAUCCACAUGAUAGAUGUGGUGAAGACGCUACUCAAAUCACUACAUAAUCCUCCUCUCUAUGUGCACCACAUGAUAAAGAAGGGGUCUACCCUUCUUGCAGUCCACACACCCCUUAAUUGGGGCUGUCGGCUGAGGAGGAGAGGGAGAGAGGAGUACAGAAAGUGGUAGCCAAAAGGAGUCUAGCCUAUACCCCUUUGGUUCUAGAGGUUAUUGUCAAUUUAACCCUAAUGGAUCUUGUCAAAUUGGGUACUAUAUCUCUAUCCAAUUACCCAAGCAUCUUGGAUUAGUGGAUUUCUACCUAAUAAUCUCUCCUUUUUAGAUCUUAUCUACAAGAUCCAAUAAUUCAAUGGCUUAUUAGAUAUAAAAUAAGAUAGGGACUCUAGCGAAUAUCUCAUAUCUAAACUCACAACGCCUACCAUAUCUUAUAUCCAAGAGAUCGCCUCUGGUAUCGUGAGGCUAACGGUAGGGUCAAUAGUGGGGCUAUUGUUAUUUAAGUGCAACAACUUCUGGUGCUUCUUCACAUUGUAUGAGAAAUCAAUGAAGAUGGGGAUGAAGGGAGUAGAGGGGAAAGACCAAGUGAUAGUUAGCAUCACCUCCAGGGGCGAAGUCAUUGAGCUCAAGGACAUGGUGCUUCGGGGAGGCACCGCGAUCGCUCUCGACGAUGUUGCCAUUAUGAGUGUUGUCGACGCACUUAAUGAGCUAAUUGAGGGUGAUGGACUUUCCAUCGUCACAACCUCUUAAGUCUUGGUUGAUGUUAGCUUAGGGAUAUGGUGGCUGAGUAGGCUAUCAUGGUCAAUAUCGUCUACCUCUACCAUCGGGAAGGAUCGUUGGUCAAACUAGAAUAUCCUAUCCACAAACUAGAAUAUCCAUCGGGAAGGAUCGGGAAGGAUCGUUGGUCAAUAUCAUCUUGUUAGGGUCUUUUGUUAGCUGCUAGUGCUAAUGACGGUUGAGUUGCUGAUUGUGGUUAAAAUAGUAGCCUCACUUAUUAGGCUAGCUAGGGCAAGAGCGGAAUAACAGUUUGCAUCACUCCCAUUAAUGUUUACACCUACUGGGUGAGGUAUAGGAACACCUCAACGAGGACAAGCAGGUGGCUCGGGGUUGCCUCCAAGGGCGAGAGGCCUAGGUCGUUGAGCAGACACCCGUGUCACAAUAGUAUUUGAGCCAAGGUGGAUACAUCCAUAUAUAGAAACAGCCUCCUCGCUCGAGCAUUCAUUGAGAAGGUUGGUAGGCAGAUGUUCUUGCAACAUCAGACACUUCCUCUAACAUCAAAAUGUCAAGAGAAAAUACUGUUGACGUCUUGAUCAACCCGAUGUGAUCCGGACCUGUAUGUUCUAGACUAUCCGAAGUAUCCUCAAGGUGAAAUUUUUGUGCUCCCCAGGUAUCACCUAUAUGAAGAUCGAGAUCGAGAGAUGUUACUUGACUCAGUCCCUUCGACCUAAUACGGGAAUUUGUGGGUUCAAAAUGUUCAAAAUGAGUCUCUUACAAUGGAUUUAAGAUAUAUUUUUAUAUCUUAGAGGAUGAAAAAGGAGUUUGUGAAAAUAGUCUCGAAGAUAUCUUUUUAUGCCUUGAGAGGAUAAAAAAAAGUUUGUAAAUUUUAUGUCUUAAGAGGACACGAGAUUGUGUUUACCUGCUUUGGAUUUUAAAACUCAUAAAUCAAUUACCUUCGUUAUCAUAGAUGAAAAAAAAACUUNNNNNNNNNNNNNNNNNNNNAUCUAUUCGCUAACCGAGGAGCAGUCGGGAGACCCAAGGACGAUUGUGGAGUGCAGCACUCUCGCACUCGGGUGUGUUGCACCGACCUUCCCCACAACCAACGUUCAUCCUUGCGUUCCAGGACACAUCCCUAGUCUGACAACUGCCUUAGCAUCCAUAUGUCCAUCCGCCGACCGAGGAGUAGUCGGGAGACUUGACGCUCACAGUGGAGUGCAGCACCCCCACACUCAAGCGUGUUGCACUGAUCUUCCCCGAGCCCGACACCUUAUCGUCUGAUUCGACAAACGCCCGUUCAUGGCCCAACUGUGCCUAGUGAAUCAAUGCUUAUACGAGGUCCAAAGGGUGUUCCAUAAAUCGACGGAAAAGCUCAGGUAAGGCUCCUCGGUAAGGUCCCCCUUUGUCCAGGAAAUCCAAGAUAGACCUAUCCCCCUCAAUUUCUGUCGCUCGACCUUGGAGGCAUAUGACGACUGCACUAACCCAGUAGAGCAUGUCGCUGCAUUCUGAGCCUAGAUGGCCCUCUAUGACACCUCAACGCUCUCAUGUGUUGGGCAUUUCCCACCAUCCUCUGAUCUCCAGCUCGGAAGUGGUACAGCUGACUGAGGCCAUACUCGGUCUUGUCUUUUGAUUAGCUCGCAAGAGAUUUCGAGCUAAAUUUAUUGGCCAACGAACAAACUAAACCUUCUGUGACCAUGCUCCUCGGGUUAAGUUAGAAGGAGGAUGAAUCCCUUUCUCCCUUUGUCGCUCACUUUGCCACUAUGAUCUGAGGGGUCCCUGACACUCACCCCUCAGUGGUUAUGCAAGCAUUCUUAAUGGCCCUAUGACCAUUAAGAUUCUUUUGGUCACUAGUUGAGAAGCCACCAAUGACUAUUCCCGAGAUACUUUAGUGCGCCAACCAGUAUGUCACUACUGAGGCACUAGUGGCAGGAAAACGUGAGGACCACAAAAGUGUUUGAUGUUGAAAUCAAUUGAUGAAUUUAUGAACUAACAAGUGUUUAAGAUGAGUGACGCAAGAUAAACUUCGACCAUAGACUUGAUUCAUUGAAGUAGAAUUAGACGUUAUGUCAGAGAGCAUCGUGUUAGAGAUUGGAUGUCGGGCCAAAGGAUUGGUGAUAUGUCAGAGGAUGAACUUCGUGCCAUUAGUUCGGGCAUCGGGCUAGAAGGAUCGAGUAUUACAGCAAGAAGAUCGGAUUUUAUGAGAGGUCAACAUAUUAAUGGAUUGGGCAAUACACCGAAAGAAAGACAAUACGAUGAAGGCUCAAACGAAGCGCUAGAUAACCUAAUGACAUACCAGACAAUUCGAUGGGGCCCUUUGUAAAAAAGGAUUGUAAAGGUUCCCUCCGGAGCUUGUGAAAGGGGAAACGAUUGUAAUAAGGGCAGUUGAUCUUCAGCCAUUGAAAAGAAGAUCGAUAGUAAAAGCUAGUGGAGUGUUGGGGAUAAUAUUUAACCACCAAACCAAAUUAAAAACCUCUAUAAAAUAAUAUCAAGUCGGUAAACAUGAGAUAAUAAGAUUGAUCCAUGUGGCCUUCUAUUUACUAGUCAUAUGUGCCCUAUAAGACAUGUGACACGCUGUGCAAUCUUUUUGCUUAUUAUUAUUAUUAUUAUUAUUAUUAUUAUUAUUAUUAUUAUUAUUAUUAUUAUUAUUAUUAUUAUUAUUUCCUCACUUUAUGUUAUAUGUUGUAUAUAUUAUAAUGUCCAUGGAUCUAUGCAAUGAAUCGGAUUGUGAUGAGAUCAUGAUAAUGAAACUGAUUCACCUUUAAACACAAACUCUAAAUAGUCUCGAUCAUAGGUUACUUGAGAGGGAUAUCGAGAUAACCGAAUAGAUUUGUGUAUUGUAUAUUCGUCCAUAUGAUGGAGGUGGCUGGUCUCAUAACUGCUUGUGUGGGGACACUAGGGAUACAUUGCAUGUGCUCAUUGAAGAAUGAGUUUACUGAUUGAUCCGCUCUUUGAAUGCUGGAUGAUUGGUGAUACCUCAUUAUUAAAUAGCUAUUCCAUCAUCUCAGUUGUGUAUUUGGUCCUUAAACUUGGGAUACCAAGGAUAUCCUAUAUAAAUACUCUACUCCUUGAUAUUAGACUUAUGGGUCUAUAAGUUUCAAAUCUAGCACAGUUGGUCAUCGAGAAUAGUAGCCAACCUUACGAGGGUAAUAGUAUCGAUAGAGGGUCAUUCACUCUCGGUGUCAUGAGAGGAAUAUACAAUAUAUUUUUGCUCAAGCAAAUCCCUAGCAAGGGUCAUUCGGAUUGAGAGAGAAAGAGUUUUCCGGAAGAAUCUGAUUAGAGCGAGACUCAAAUAGAUUUUGUAUAGGCUUGAUACCACCAUGUCUAGUAUAUAGUCUUUAGAAUAUUAGAUGGCUGAGGGAUUAUAGAUACAUGGUAACUAUAGAUAGACAAGUCCAAUGGAUUAGAUUCACUUGUAUUGUUUGGGGACUAUAGCGUAGUGGCCUAGUACGUCCGUAGUCGAUGAGUCGAGUAAAUUAUUAUGAAGAUAAUAAUUCACUGAGUUAAAAGGAGUUCUGAUAGGUACAACUCAUGGCCAGCUCGAUAUUAGGCCUAGAGUGUCAUACAAAUAUAUGGUAGGUAUUGCAACAAGUAGAUGUUCGGAUAUGAGAUCUCCGUUGGAGCCCCUAUCUUACUGGAUGUCUGGUAAGCCUCAAAAUUAUUGGAUCUUUUGAGUGAGACACAACACAACUAAAUAGAGAUUAUUGGAUAGAGAUCUACUAAUUUAAGAGAUUUUGGUAAUUAGAUGGAGCUCUAGUACCCAAUAAGACAAGAUCCAUUAUGGUUAAGUGGUAUGAAUCUCUAUAAAUACGAGGGGCUAAAAGGUGGCAUAGGCUAGUCUCCUCUGGGCCGCUCCUAUUCUCCUCCCUCUUAUAUCCUUCCCAAUCGAUAGCCUCAGUUUGGGGCGUGUGGUCAAGAAGAACAACUAGCCCCUUCUUGUUCAUAGUGCAGCUUUAUGGUGCGCAUGGAGAGGAAUAUCUAAUAUGAAUAAAUUAUUAUUUAAUGUUCCUCUACCAAUGAUCUCAUCAUCUAGGAUCAAUGAAAAACUAUUAUUCUUAAAAACUAAUAUAUAUCCAUUAUUUAUCAAACAAAAAAUAAAAAUAAUAUUUUUGAUAAUUAAAGGAACAAAAUAAUUAGCAUAUAAUGUAUGUAAAGCUCCAACAGGCAAUUGUAGGGUGACUUCUCCAACGAAAUAACGUCAACCUUUGUGUCAUUUCCCAUCUUGAGGUCUACCUCGCCUCUCACCAAUCUCUUAGGUUUUGUCGGAACCUGCAAUGAAUUACAGAUAUGAGGUGCAUUAUCGAUAUCCACUAUUCAUGCACUAUCAUAAUUUUUUAACAAAUAGAGAUCAAUCAUGAAUGUACCUAAAGCUUCUCUAAGCUUCUGUUUUGCCUUUCUAUAAUAUAUUUUUUGUAGUUUCUCUUUCGGUGCCCAUCUUUGUCAUAGUAGAAGUAUUAGUCUUUGUCCUUUAUCAAGUUAUUUUUAGCAAUCUUUGCUUUGCCCGAUUUGCCCUUACCCUUGCCCUUCUUAAGGGACUUCGUUGGCUUCCUUUUAUUUUUGGUCUAACCAGCAUAGAAACUGGCUUCUUUUUCUUGAUUGUGCUCUCAGCCUCCCUCAACAUAUUGAAGAGCUCAAGUAGAGUCACCUUAAGCUUGUUCAUGUUAAAAUUCAUAAUGAUGUAUGAAAAGGAAUCUUGGAGAGACUGAAGUAUAAGAUCCACACACAGGUUAUCUUCUAGGAACAUUCCUAGACCCAUGUGCUUCUCUAUCCACUCAAUCAUCUUAAGGAUAUGAUUCUUAAUCAGUGUCCCCUUAGUUAUUCUGGUACGAAAAAGACUCUUAGAUAUCUUAUAUCACUAAGUUCUUCCUUUUUCCUUAAACAAUUUACAAAGAUGCAGGAGAAGGGAUCUAGUAUCUUUCUUUUCAUGCUGCCUCUGUAACUCGGAAGUCAUGGAACCCAACAUAUAAUAUUGAGCGAGAGUGGAGUCAUCUAUGUACUUUAUAUAGCAAGUGAUCUCAUCCUCACUUGCCCCUUCCUUAGGCGUGAGCAUCAUUGUGUCAAGGACAUACAUGAUUUUCUCCAUCGUGCGAAUGAUUCUCAAGUUGUGGAGCCAAUCCAUAUAGUUUGGACCAAUGAGAUGGUUGACAUCAAGUAUGUCAUAUAAGGGAUUUGAAAGCCAAAUGUUUUUGACAAAAGAUGUAACAGAAAUAAAUAACAUGUUUAUUUUGUCAAAGAGUAAACAAUCAAGAUAUCAACUUCUAUCUUAAUCUACUUUUACCAUUUUCUCAUAAAAUACACAACUCCCUCCGGUAUAUGAACCGAAGACCCACCGGUGGAUCUCUAGUGGCGAUCAGGAUCUAAUCGAUGUCUUAGUGUAACCUCGAGGGACUCAACUAAUCACACUAAGCCCGAAAAGGUAGCCAACUCUUGUUGAUUAUAACUCUUUGUGAUUCUCAUUAUGUUCAACCUCCGAACCAUCAUGGCCUCGAGAGACUUGACCAACCAUAAUGUUCGGUUAAAUCAUCACUAUCGUUACUUUUUUGCCAAAAAUUAAACAAUCAAGUUAUGAACUUAUAUCUAAAUCUACUCCCACUAUUUUUCUCACGAAAAAUAACUUCCUUCUGUAUGUGAAUUGGAGAACCCUCGGUGGAUCUUUAAUGGGGAUCGGGAUCCAAUCAAUGUCUUAAUAUAACCUCAAGGGACUCAACCAAUCAUAGUAAGCCCGAAAAGGUAGCCAACUUUUAUUGAUCAUAACUCUUUAUGAUUCUCAUCUUAUUCUGCCUCUAAACCAUUAACCAACCACUAUGUUCGGUUAAGUCAUCACUAUCAUUAUAAGAUAAGUUUGAUUUGAUGAUACGCCCUCGAGGGACUCGACUAAGCAUACCAUGUUCUCAGGUCACUUGACAUCUCUGUGUCAUAGGCAAUAUCUCAAAUCGCAAUAUAGGUGAGCCUCGAGUGACUUGACCAACUCAACAUAUGUUAGAAAUUGAUUUCUCUUUAUAACAAUGGAAGGUCGUGUUGGUCAAUCUAAUUACCUCACUCUUACCGACUUAAUAUUAUCAUGAGAGGAUUUUGAUUCGAUCUCCUAAUAUGACAUGUCACACAUACAUAUUAAAUAUAUAUCUGCAUCAUAUAUAUAUAUAUAUAUAUAUAUAUAUAUAUAUAUAUAUAUAUAUAUANNNNNNNNNNNNNNNNNNNNNNNNNNNNNNNNNNNNNNNNNNNNNNNNNNNNNNNNNNNNNNNNNNNNNNNNNNNNNNNNNNNNNNNNNNNNNNNNNNNNNNNNNNNNNNNNNNNNNNNNNNNNNNNNNNNNNNNNNNNNNNNNNNNNNNNNNNNNNNNNNNNNNNNNNNNNNNNNNNNNNNNNNNNNNNNNNNNNNNNNNNNNNNNNNNNNNNNNNNNNNNNNNNNNNNNNNNNNNNNNNNNNNNNNNNNNNNNNNNNNNNNNNNNNNNNNNNNNNNNNNNNNNNNNNNNNNNNNNNNNNNNNNNNNNNNNNNNNNNNNNNNNNNNNNNNNNNNNNNNNNNNNNNNNNNNNNNNNNNNNNNNNNNNNNNNNNNNNNNNNNNNNNNNNNNNNNNNNNNNNNNNNNNNNNNNNNNNNNNNNNNNNNNNNNNNNNNNNNNNNNNNNNNNNNNNNNNNNNNNNNNNNNNNNNNNNNNNNNNNNNNNNNNNNNNNNNNNNNNNNNNNNNNNNNNNNNNNNNNNNNNNNNNNNNNNNNNNNNNNNNNNNNNNNNNNNNNNNNNNNNNNNNNNNNNNNNNNNNNNNNNNNNNNNNNNNNNNNNNNNNNNNNNNNNNNNNNNNNNNNNNNNNNNNNNNNNNNNNNNNNNNNNNNNNNNNNNNNNNNNNNNNNNNNNNNNNNNNNNNNNNNNNNNNNNNNNNNNNNNNNNNNNNNNNNNNNNNNNNNNNNNNNNNNNNNNNNNNNNNNNNNNNNNNNNNNNNNNNNNNNNNNNNNNNNNNNNNNNNNNNNNNNNNNNNNNNNNNNNNNNNNNNNNNNNNNNNNNNNNNNNNNNNNNNNNNNNNNNNNNNNNNNNNNNNNNNNNNNNNNNNNNNNNNNNNNNNNNNNNNNNNNNNNNNNNNNNNNNNNNNNNNNNNNNNNNNNNNNNNNNNNNNNNNNNNNNNNNNNNNNNNNNNNNNNNNNNNNNNNNNNNNNNNNNNNNNNNNNNNNNNNNNNNNNNNNNNNNNNNNNNNNNNNNNNNNNNNNNNNNNNNNNNNNNNUCACAUGAGCAAUCACACCAAAUGAUCAUGGACCAUAGCCUAAUAUGAUCAAGCUUGAGCUAGUGGGCCUAAUCACUCACAUCACAAUCUAUGUGUGCAUCGACACAUAUCCAUGCCUUGUGAUCGUCUAUCUCAUCCUCAUCAAUUCCACUAGCAUUUCAUCACAUCUCGAUGCAUCACGAUCAUCCAUCUCGGCCUCAUGGGUCCUGCUAUUUCCUCAACACUCCUAUUGUGCCUCCUCGUGCGAUUACAAUAUAAUCACAAGCACAUAGGCCUACUGAUAAACAAGAAAAAAUGGAGACUCGCAUGCCCCAAUAAUAAUAAUAACCACAUAAUAUAUACACAUACAUCACAUUACACAAUUCAUGAUCAUCCGUCCACAUCAUACAUCACAUGUACACAUCAUCAUAUAGGACUACUAGAUAAUAAUAAGAAUAAUAAUAAUAAAUAAAUAAAUAAUAUUUAAUUAAUUACUUUAUAGAAUUUUUGGGGUACCCUAUCCCAAGGUGCCCCAUGCGACUAAGAAUCCUUAGCCAUAAGACAGCUUUGGGUGGCCAGGAAUCCCUAGCUCCCAAGGACCCCUUUGUAGCUAGAAAAUCCUAGUCACUAGCUUGGCCCAUGAAGUAGGAGCCGCAUGGACACCUAUGCGGCUAAGAAACCCUAGUUGCAGGGGUUCCCAUGCAACCAGCAAUCCCUGGCUAUAGGGGCUCUGGUAUGCCUAGCCGAGAGAAGCAUGGCUACUCUCGAUUUGUUAAGGUUGCAAGCAACCUUUGGCCGAUCCAUAGGGCAACAAUAGUUGCUAUCCUUUUCUCUCUCUUAUACAUCAACAAUUUUAAUGUCAAAAGCCUUUUCUAAAAUGCCUCUCAAUAGCAAGAUCCAAAUCUGAAGAAACUACGACAAAAAUCACAACAUCGCAUAUAAAAUAAUUCUACGUUUUUCAUCAAAGCACGUAAUUUAAAAACCAAUCGUCACACGAAUCAAACUAGCUUUGAUACCACUAUUGGGAAGUUUAAUCAGAGUAUCAUAUGGCAGUGGAAGAACAGAAAACAAAAACAUAGAUUUCAAAAAAAAAGGAUCUCAUCGUCGUAUGAAGAUUAGUGUGCAAAACACAAAAAUCAAAAAUCAUGUAUAUCAAGUGAGAUUUGUUACCUAAGGAGAUCGUACACCUCUGAAAGUUCCUAGAUCUAUAGGAGUGGAUGAAUGAGGUCAAUUGUCCUCAUCUUUAGCGGUGAUCCAUAUGGUAGAUGUGGCGAAGAUGCUCCUCAAAUUACUACACGAUCUUUCUCUUCACACGCACCACGUGAUCAAGAAGGGGUCAGCCCUUUCUACUAUCCAUACGCCCUCAACUAGGGCUAUCGGCAGAGGAGGAGAUGAGAGGGAAGAGAAUAAGAGGUACGGCCAAGAGGUGACUAGCCUAUGCCACCUUUUGGGCCCUCCUAUUUAUAGACGUUCUAACCACUUAACCUUAUUGGAUCAUGCCCUAUUGGGUACUGGAUCUCUAUCUAGUUACCCAAGCCUUUUAGAUUAGUAGAUCUCUACCAAAUAGUCUCUCAUUAGCUCUUAUUGGAGCUUAUCCAUAAGAUCCAAUAAUUUAUGGGCUUACAUGAUAUCUAAUAAGAUAGGGGCUUCAACGGAUAUCUCAUAUCUGAACAUUUACUCGUCACAACACCUACCAUAUUUAUGUGACCCUCUAGACCCAAUAUCAAGCUAGGCAUGAGUCGUACCUAUUAGAACUCCUUAUGCCUCAAUGAAUUAUUAUCUUCAUAAUAAUUCACUCGACUCAUCGACUAUGGACAUACUAUACCACCACGCCGUAGUCCCCAGACAAUACAGGAGGAUCAAAUCUAUUAGACUUGUCUGUCCUUAAUUAUCAUGUAUCUAUAGUCUUUUAUCCAUCUAAUACCUCAAAUACCAUAUAUCGAGUAUGGUACUAUCAGGCCCACACCGAAUCUACUCAGGUCUCACUCUAAUCGGAGUCUCCAAGAAAACUCUCUCUCUCAAUCACAAUGACCCUAGCCAGGGAUUUGCUUAAACAAGAAUACAAAAAAUAUUUCUCUCAUGAUACCAAGAGUGAAUGAUCCUCUAUCAACACUCAAUUACCCUCGUAAGAUUUACUACCACUCUCAAUAAUCAGUCGUGCUAGAUUUAGAACUUCCAUACAUAUAAGUCUAGUAUCAAAGAAUAGAGUACUCAUACAUGAUGUCUUUGGUGUUUCAAGUCUAAAGAAUAUACAUACAACUAGGACCACGAAAUUGAUGUUUGACAAUGAGGUAUCAUCAACCAUCCAGCAUUCUAUGGGCAAAUCAAUCAGUGAACUUAUUCUUCAAUGAGCACCUGCACUAUAUUCAUAGUGUCCUCACAUGAGCAGCCAUGAGACUAGCCACCUCCAUUAUAUGGAUGAGUAUCUAGCAUAUCAGUCUGUCUGGUUAUCUCGAUGUCCCUCUCAUGUAACUUAUUACUAGGAUUAUUUAAGGUCUGUGUUUAAAGACGAAUCGAUCUCAUUAUCGUGAUCUCAUCAUGAUCCAACUCCUAUUGGACAGAUCCAUAGACAUCACAAUAUAUACAAUAUACAACAAAAAAUGAGAAAAUAUUAAUAAUAAGUAAAAAAAUUACGUAGCAUGUCACACAUGCCAUCACUCACGUGAUUGGCUUGCAGGGCACCUAUAACUAGUAGGAUCUACACUCUUAUGGGAUAUAUGAUCUCCCCUAAGUGAGGUUAUAUCAUAUAUCUUACGUAGUUUUUGGUUUUUCAUAAGUUUUAUGCUCUCGAUCUUCGCAUAACGAUUCAAUAUGAUUCUUUUGGGAAACCUGUUUUGUUUUUAUUUUUUCAUUGCACAUGUGAUGCCCUUUGUGAUUUCCCAAUAAGAUCACCUUAAUGAGCCGACCCUCAAUCUUCUCACUAUUAAGGUGAUUGGACCAUACAGGCUUUCCUACACGAUGUGGUUCACGAGGGCAUUGAUUAGGGUGGACUUGCUAAAGUCAUUCGUCCAAGCACUAUGAAGAUCUCUACUUCUCUCACCUUACCAGAGAUGGAAUUCAACGGCAUCUAGAUCCUAGAGAUCACCUUUGACAUCCCAAGGUCGAUGGUAAGGUCGUUCUUGCAUAAGAGUGAUAGCUUUCAGUGCUUCUUCACAUUGUACAAGAGAUUAAUGAAGAUGAGGAUGAAAAUGACGGAGGCAGAAGGCCAAGUGGUCACCGGUCACUUUUAGGGGCAAAGUCAUUGAGCUCAAGGACAUGGUGCUUCAAGGAGGCGUAGCCAUUGCCCUCGGUGACAUCAGCACUUUGAGCGUUGUAAACAUGCUUGAAGAGCUAGUCAAGGGUGAUGGACUUUACACUGCCACCACCUCUAGAGUCAUAGUUAACAAUAGCUCAGGGACUAUGGUGGCUGAGUAGGCCAUCACAGUUGAUGUCCUCUGCCUCUACCAUUAGGAAGGAUUACUAGUCGAAUAAGAAUAUUUUAUCCAUGAACCGAGCAUGGUAUCGCUUCGUUAUCCCCUUUUAUCUUGUUGUGUUCUCUUGUUGGUCGUUGAUGCCAAUGAUGGGUGAGUUGCUAAUCGUGGCUGAGAUAGUGGUGUCGCUUAUUGGGCUAGCUGGGGCAAAAGCGAAAUAACAGCUUCCAUUGUGCCCAUUAAUGUCUGCACCUGUUGGGUGAGGUUUAAGAACACCUCAGCAAGGACAAGCAAGUGGCUAGAGGUUGCCUCAACGGGCAAGAGGCCUAAGUCAUUGAAUAGAUGCUCGUACCAUGUUGGUAUUUAAACUGAGGUGGAUGUAUUCAUAUAUAAAAAAGGCCUCAUUGCUUAAGCAUUCGUUGAGAGGGUUGAUACGCGGAUGACAUUGGGCCUUUCCUCCACCACUAAAAUGUUAGAGAAAAAUAUUAUUGACGUAUUGGUUAGCACGACAUGAUCUAGACCCAUGUGUAUAAGAUUGUCCGAAGUUUCUUUGAGGUGAAAAUAUCAUGAUCCCGAGAUGUUAUCUAUGUGAAGACCAAGGUCAAAAGAGGUUUCGUGACUAAGUCCUUCCGACGCUCAAGUUAGUAAUCUAAAAUUCUCAAAUGUGAGUUAAAAAAGUUCAAAAGAAGUCUCUUACAUUGAAUAUGUAUUUUUAUAUUGAUAAGAAAGAAAUUUGUGAUUGUCUUCUUCAUCAUAAUGGAUGAGAAUAAUGCUUAUGAUUGUUUUUCUUAUCAUAAAGGAUAAAAAAGAAGUUUGUGAUUACCUUUCUUAUCAUAAUAAAUGAGAAAGAAAACUUAAAACUUAUAUUUGUAUGGUUUGUCCUAACGGAAGGAGAGUGACUCUAUCACGUGGCGUUCGGUUGACAUUGUGUUUCUUAUCAACUUCGUCAUGAUUAUUUUAUAUAAAUAAAAGUCUUUUAAAAUCCCUAAAUAAAUUGGAUGUGAACAUUAAAAAAAUAUUGUUUUCAUUUUCAAUCACAUUAGUUAGAACGAUCAUCCAUCUAACUCGAUCGUUCUCAUUGACUCGUAUUCACUCGUUCCCUUCGAACCAGGAGGAGAAGAAACUUAAUAGAGCACUGAACGAGAUCGGUUUACACACUUUACUGCAGGGAAGACCAUGCAUUUUUAUGCUUAGCUGCAUGUAUUGCCAAGAACCGAUAAUUAAGAUGGCUAAAAAAACGUCGAGAUUAAUGCAACGAUUGCCAAAAAGAGCUCUUAUCCACGUAUUGUUCGUCUGGACGAAGUCAAGAAAGAAAACCGACGCGACGGUCUCUGUUCCUUUACCUUUUUAUCCAUUAGUUCGACCCGUAUAUAAGCACAACCGCUCCUUCCUCUCGACGGCAGGCGGGCAGAUACUUGGGGAGCUCCGCCCUCGAAGUAUCUUCUUAGGUUUCCUCCUUUCACUCCGUUCACAAGCCAAAGUUCAUGCACACGCUUCUCUUAGAUUAGCAAAGCAAACGAGGAGCGUAAAAAGAUGACGAAUAAGGCCGUCUUGGGUGCUCUCUCAGCGGUCCUUGUGGCGGCCGUGAUAGGGGCGGCGAGUGACGAUUCCCUUGUCGCCUCCUCCAAGUCCGUGACGGACAUCUGCGCCUCCACUGACUACGCUGAUGUGUGCGAACGGACCCUCAAUGCUGCCAUCAAUGGCUCUGCCUCUCCCAAGGAGAUCAUCCAAGCUUCCUUCAUGGCAGCCAUCAGAGAAAUCGAAGCUGCCUCCCACCUGUCCAACAACGUGAGUUUGAAAGCCACUGACUCGAUGAACAAGGAUGGGUUCGACAUUUGUCGUCGACUCUUCGAGGAUGCCACUGAGGAGCUACAAGCUGCCUUCUCGGAGACUCAUGACCUUGACGGUUUGGCGAGAAGGACCGAUGACAUCAAGUGCUGGCUUUCAGCCGUCAUCUCCUACCAGCAGACCUGCCUCGAUGGCAUCACUCAAACCGACCUGCACUCGACCAUGAAGGACGGCCUUGUCACGGCCUCUCAGGUCACCAGCAAUGCCAUUGCCAUCGUCGAUGGGCUCAGUUCAUUAUUCAAGAACUUCCAAGUCCCCAUCAACGUGACCAAUAUCGCCAGCCGCCGGCUACUGUCUC
rnacentral:lncRNA from 1 species